rnacentral:lncRNA from 1 species
UUUUUUUUUUUUUUUUUGGGGUUAGGAAGCUAAGUGAAUUUGUGAGCUACAUCAGUCGGAAUAUGCUACUCUUCUAUUACAUUUUCAAUCAACUCUUGAUUCGUAUCAUUUCUUGUUAAUGAAAGCAAAAACAAGUCGUCUGACGAAAGGACUACUUCGUACGAUUGGAAAGGCCUUUAACUUAUCUGUUGAUCAUAUAUUGGUAUAGUCAUCAGCUUAGAUCAAUAGAUCAAUCCUUAAAAUUUACAUGAAGAUCUUUAGGAUUCGAAUAUUUGAGAUACUUUCAACAAGUUAAAAUAAUCUCGAGAAAAUUUAUCCUCCUCUUUUUGGUAUGGUAUAUGCAUGAGUUAAGGUUUUGCGUGAUAGGUGUCUAGACACCUCUCCUUUGUUUAUUCUUGUUUUUCCUUUGAGGACUCUUUCGUGAGCAGGACCUUGUUCUGUAGAGUGGCGAGCUAGAGAUUAUCACAUUGGUUAAUUUGCCCAUUCAAGUUCUAUGCUAUUAAUUUGAGUUAGCUAGUUUCUACUGCUAUUGUCCAUGAAAGAUAAACUUUCUUCAUUACUUAGUAUGUCUAGCUAGAUAUAUAUAGCUUCACGAACUGUUUCGUUUGGACAGAUUUUGUUUAGUUCAUUCAUUUAAUCUAAUUUGGUACCCAAAUGAUUUUUAAAUUGGAUGAAACUUUGCAGGAAUAAUCUACACACUAUGUUCUAGACACUGAACGGUGAAGAUGUGAAAAUGUGAUCUAAAAGUGAGCGUAAUGAGGAGCACCACACUUUAAUUUCAAAGCAGUGUCCCACUCUGGAAGGGAACUUUGUGUGUGUCUAUAUAGUUCUUUUCCAGAACGGUGCCCAGGUUUGAAAUUAAAAUGUGGACCUCUUUAUUUCGCUCACUUUUAUGUCGCAUUUCCACAACUCCACAUUUCAGUGUCUAAACAUUGAUGAUAUGGUGAUCGGUUGGGUAACUUUCAUGCUAUUUCUAUUAAUUAAGUGAUUAGUUAAAAAUUCGAACACCCAUGAAAGUUCCAUGUUAUCUCAAGAACAUAGUCUUCUAUAUAUCUGCAAUGGUCUCCAUGAAAAAUGACGUUUCCACCGUCAGUGCACUAGCUUUAGAUCACAAAACAGAAAUCAACGCCGAUCGUCUUUAAGUAUAUAGGGAUUAUUAACUGUACAGGUGAAAACCCAGUCAUCUGGCGUGUUGUGAGACCAUCGAUCUGGCUAUUAAAAACAAACCUCAGCUUUGUCUUUCUGAUUUUACAUUUUUACUAUGUACUAUCGUUAAUAGUACAAUAGUAUUUAGCUACUACAAUGUAUUUUGCAUAGCUAGAAAGGUUCAUUGUUAAUAGCGUGGAUAACGUAGGGUGAUGCAUAUAUGCCAUCUUAAUUUGCUGCAUUACAUAUUGCACGGUGUAACACGUACACUUUCUCUAAUAAAUUACUUCAUGCAUUUUAAUUUUGUGAGAGAAAGGCUAGUGUACGGAGCUGCUUUCUAAUAUAUAUAUAUAUAUAUAUAUAUAUAUAUAUAUAUCAAUAAAUAAUGAAACUAAUAUGAUAGGGACAUGAUGCAUAAACUCCAUAAGCUCUGCAGUUUUUUGACAUAGAUCGAGUUGGCUUAAGAUUCCGUAUGGGAUGAGUCCGGAUUAAUCCAAUCGGUCAUUAUAUAAAAAAGGUCAAGUCUCUGUGUUCGAUCACUAUCGUUUCGCAUUGAGUUUACUACCCCAUUCUGUAGCCUUGAUAUUGAAACACAGAAGAUUUCCUUCUGUAUACUUCAUCAUGUUCUUGUGUGUAGUAAUCUAGUUAGUAUCAGUAGCAGAAGAUGUCUAAAUCGAAGGUUUCUGUACGUGCAAGAGGAUGAAAAGUGAUCAAGAUGAUUCCCAGUUGCAUUAGGAAAAGUCUUUCUGCCGAAUUCUUUCAGUUUGUAUAUGUGUUCAUGUUAUUAUAAAUUGGUCUUUAUGUUGUUGAUAAUGUAUUGAUGUGUUUUUAGUUGUUGCAUCAUGAUCUUUCAAAUUAUGCCGAACUAACUGCACUACUAAGAGGAUGAUGACAACGCAGGCAUAUAUAUGCAACUAGCCAGCAAAAUAUAAUAUAGCAAAUGAAUUAUAUAUCAUACUGAAGCCAUUAACUAGUUAGUACAAGAAACAAUUAGCAGUAAUCUACGUUAAUUAAUUCUCGUGGUGUAGAUUAAGGACUUUGUUUAAGUCAUGAACGUUAAUUAAUUCUCCUGGUGUAGAUUAACGACUUUGUUUAAGCCAUGAACGUUAAUUAAUUCUCGUGGUGUAGAUUAAGGACUUUGUUUAAGUCAUGAAUGUGAAAGGGACAUGCCCGGACUUGAUAUGAGGCUGAGGAGUCAGCCGACUCAAGGCCCGGAGACGUAAGGGGCCAGUAACAAGUUUUCAUUAUAUCCAGAUCUUACUAACACAGUAAUAGAGCUCAACUUUUGUUAAAUUAAAAGAAAAUACUGACAUGAUGGGCCAUACAAGUUCAACAAAUUAUAUAUAAUUAUAGUAUAUCUUAAAAUCCAUUGAAGUCCAUACGUAAGAAAUUUGUUUUAUAAAUAUGAUUUAUAAUGUAAAAUAUGAUUACUAAAAUAUUAUCCAAAUAGGAUUUCUAGAAUAUUGUAGAUAUAAAAUUACUAAAACAUAGAGAGGUUUGGUAAUCUGUACAUAUAUUCGGAUAUUAUAUGAAUAUUUUCGAAAAUUACGUGUUGUUUGUUGUUUCAAUUGUUGUUAGCUAGUUCCCGAAAAAAUGUUAUAAUAUUAAUGCAUUUCAUAAAAAAAAAAAUUGACAUUAAAUGCAUAUUACGGUUUAAGGGUCCAAUUUUUAGAGUUCGACUCAGAUCUGAAAAUCUCAGGUCCGGACCUGGAAAGGGAUUGAGUCCCAGCAGCUGGUAGCAGCUAAAUCAGAUGUGGAGUACAGCAUGAACACACUAUCUAUCUAUCUGAGACUUAUGAGUGAGAUGGAUCGAGCUUAUACUGUAGUGAGAUUAGUGGGUCGUGCAUGCUUAUUAUUGUUUGUAUGUGCUUUGGUAUUAUAUCCACUCUCCUUUUUGGGACGCUGUAUUUGAAUUUAGAGACCCCCUUCUCGAUCGAUCUGCUUCUCUUACGCCUAUAAAUACCCACAUUCUCUUGCAGUCCUUCAUUCAGGUUGUGGGAUACAAACUCAUCGAGUCUAGGUGUUGAUCGAUCCCAUGGCUCCCAGAAAGAUUGCUAGCGUUGUUUUCCUUGUGAUGCUAAGUGUAGGCAUCUGUUCUGCCACUAGAGUCCUCUUGAGUUUAACUGAAGAUGUUGUGCCUCUUCCACGCCCUAGUAUUCAUGCUGCGGCCAUAGGCCAUGCUGGUGGUGGUGGAGGCGGAGGCGGUGCGGGCGGUGGAGGAGGUGCUGGAGGUGGAGCUGCAGCCGGGGGUUAUGGACAUGGAGGUGGGUCUGGUGAAGGAGGGGGUGCAGGGUACGGUGGUGGUGGAGCUGAGGCAGCCGGGUAUGGUGGAGGUGGAGGAGGAGGUAGCGGUGGAGGUGGAGGAGGCGGUGUAGGUUAUGAGGGUGCAGGGAAGGGUGGCGGUGAAGGGAGUGGUUCUGGAGGUGGUGCAGGUUAUGGUGCUGGAGGAGCAGGCGGAGGUGGACAUGGUGGUGGAGGAGGUGGUGGGAGUGGUGGUGGCGGUGGAGGUGGAGCCGGUGGUGCUGGUGGAGGUUAUGGUGGUGGUUCAGGAUCUGGUGAAGGUUAUGGGGCUGGUGCUGGUGGUUCGGCUGCUGGUGGAGGUGGAGGAGGUGGCUCUGGUGGUGGAGGUGGCGGUGGCUCUGGUGGUGGUGCGGGUGCACACGGUGGUGGUGCCGGCUAUGGAGGUGGUGCUGGGAGCGGUGAGGGUGGUGGUCAUGGUGGCUAUGCGCCUUGAGUCCACCUUCCUCAGGGUCUCUAUGGAUCAAACACCUCUUGUUACCAAAAGUAUUAGAAACAAUAAAUUUUAAUGCGGUGAGAAGAGGAUGAUUAUAGUUAUUUACUACGGUGAUGGUUGUAAAAGAACUCAUGCCAAUUUGGCAUGAUUACUGCUCUCCGAGCUGAUUGUAUGAUACAAUUGGACAGUUCAACUGGAUCAAUUGAUUGUUACCAUGCAAUUGUAAUAUAUUGAUGAAGUAUGUAUCCUUUAAUUUAACUGUUUGGCGUGGUUAAUAUAUAUUCCAUGUCUAUGGAUCUCAAUAUAUGCACGAUGAGUCGAUCGCGAUGAACAUAUAUAUAAUCUUGAUAGUUUGAUCGAUGCUUUGUUAUAUGAUAAUUCGUUGAGAAUGUGAAAAUGAAAACAAAUUAAAGCUCUCACUCAUUGAAAGCUAUAAAGUUUCUUAUGAGUAUUGCAGUGAGGCUCAAAAUACUUUAUCACAAGAAUUUUUUUCAUUUGUUUUACGAGUUAUAAAUUUGAUUAUGAGUUUAUGAUAUAUGGUUCAUAAUCAGACGUUUUUUACAUACAUGAACCAAGAUGUUAAAACUUCAUGAUCGAUGUUCACAAAUCAAGAAAAUGACAGAUUAUAAACUAAUUAAAGUUACAUAUAUACCUUGAAGUUGAUAUCCAUGAGAGCAAUAAUAGAACAAAUUAAGCAAUGCACUGAUGGAGAAACUGAUGCAGAAAACUAGAUGUACGUGUCUCCCUUGUCCAAAUAAAUAGUAAAUUUAUUUCAAUAAACUCUGGUUUGCAUUACAAUUUAUAAAUGGAUAAAUUCCAAUAGAAAUCCAACGAUGAAAAGGGGAAAAAAACGAAAGGAAGAAACCGAUCAAUCCCGCACCCAAAACUGCAGAAGCAUAGAUGGAGAGACCAGAUUAUUCUUACAUAACGAAAUCCUUGGUAAAGCACAUUAAGUUGCCAGACUAAUUAAAGGGUAGGUAGUAGAUGAUUUGCAGUAGUUGAUUUGAUAGCCAGACAUUGAAAAACAGUGGCAAAGUCGCUGAUAUAUAUAGCAUUAAUCAUCAGAGUUUAGCCUCCACUCCAUCGAUCUCCAAGCAUUCCUGCUCUCUUUGUUUCUGCAUUUCUAGACAUCGCCUUGCGAUUGCGAUCUAGAGCGGUCUUUUCGAGCACUUUUCGAUUUGUUCAGCAUUCCCUUAACAUGAUCAGCGAUCAUGAAAAGUGGAGUAGAUAACAGAGAAGUUGUUGACUCUGCAACAGUGCUAUCUAUCAUAGUCCUUCCUUUGAUCAUGUCAGCGUCCCCUUCUUCAUUCAUGAUCACCAUGUUGCAUGGGAGUUUCUCAGCGUAGAACUUUCGGUCAGCCUUUUGAUGCCUACAGUUACAUAUAUUCCAUAAUCGAUUAUUGGAGAACAAAUCUCAUGCACAUUGGAAAAUCAAAGCCAUGCAAUGUGCAAAAUAAUAUGCCUACCUAUCAAAGACGACCCAUGUAGCAUGCAGGCUUGUAAUUUCGUCAACAACCAACAGUCUUGAGGGAAAACCCAUGACAACCUUCUUCUGAAGCACAACCUGCAUUAACAUACAACAAAGAUUUGAAUGUCUCUGAACAAGUAAUUUGAUAAGGAUAAUAAGCUUAAAUGAGGACGUAACACAAUAUAUAUAUACCCCAUAGUUUCUACAGAGGUCCACUGCUGCUUGGAGCUUCAGAUAUUUGACAUCGCUCUUCCACUCAGGUUUUUCUUUGACAAUUGAUAGUUCCUCUAAACCCACUGGCCAAACAUCAAGCCAUGUCUUUGAAGACACUACAAAACAACGCCACCUGAUGAGUUAGUCAUUGAAGUCUAGGGCACAUCGAUCAAAAGAGUGAUGCAUGCACUAGAGGAUGAUGCAAAGGCAUUUACUUCUAAGCUAUAAUGUGGUGCAUGUAGGCUUUGAUUUUACGCAUUCACUUACGAGGAAUAUUGAGCCACGGCAUCACACCGAGAAGAAUAACAACCGAGCCAGCCUUGAUGACAUGCUCAAGUGCCCACUCUAGUGGCGCAGUGUUGAACUCUUUCAUGGCGUCCAUGACGAUGAUCACAUGUCUAGCUGUGUUUAUCGAACCCGGUGACUCUUGCAAGAGGAGAUCGUCUAGCAAUGCACUAUUUGUCCUCAAACUCAUCGAUCUUCCCAAUGGUAAUUGGUUAUUAGCUCCUCCUUUGAAGAAAACCACCAUGUUGAAUAAUCAAUCAACCUCCUAACUCUGAGUACUGAUAGCUAGCUAGCUUCUGCAAAUAUGAUAGAUGUAGAGAGAGAACUGUUUAGCAGCCAAAGGGAAUUGUUAUGAUGGUUCUCAUUCCUUAUAUAGUGGAACUAUUGUCUCAUAUGAGAAGUCCAGGUGUUCUGGUCGAUGAUUUCGAAGGUGUACCUUGUAGGUAGUUUGACAAAAACGAAGGAUGUUAUUGGCAAAGUACAUUCAUGCCAAGUUAGAGAAAUUUGUCAAAUUUGAUCUUUCCUAGACUUAAGAUGCUGCUUCCUAAAUCCUAUCUCCAACCAAGAGUCUAAAGAACCAUGAUUACUAAGAAGUUUUGAACUCAUCAACAAAUGAAAUCGACCAAAAAGAAGCUUCCCUCUUUAAAUUACAUGGUGAAGAUACAGCUCAAGUAGUAUAGGCAUGCUAUUCAAACUACGUUUUGUUUUAUGCUGUGAACUCAUUUUGUCCUUUGCUUCAUAUAUACGAGCCCAAACAUUUAUCUUAUCCUUUUUUGGAUCUUAUGUUGAACCCAAGUGAUUAUCUGAAUUGGUCAUUUUGCUAUUUCGAGCUAUAAAAGAAAAGAAAACUCCAAAGCCUUUUAAGUUUUAACUAGUCUAUCAGGUGAGUAGUUUAAGUUUCUUAACAUUGUGAUAUACAACCUCAAAUGAUAACUCAAGGGGAAAGCUAGUACCAAUCGGAAGUUCAGAACAAACAAACUCGGAUGAUGAUGAGUCUAUAAUAGUUAACUGUCAACUUAAUGAGCAUAUCAGGUUAACAGUGCUAUAGGCACUAGUGCAAUUAAACGCUGUUUCCGGAAAUUUGUUGACGAUGCUGUGAAGCAAAAUCACAAGAAUCAGGUGGUUGAAAACUAAAUGAAAUUUUCUUCAUUGAUUAAGAACAACUAUGAAACAUUUCUAUCUGGUAAGCAACCAGAUCAAACAUUUGAAAAUAUUUUAUCUGUACAUUUGUGGCUGAAAAGAUAAACUAAAUUUGACUUGGGGUACCUCCACCACCAGAGGGAGAGUGACCUGAAAACAGCUGCAGAGGGCAUUAGAUAACCCAUACACCUGCACUAGCCAAAACUCAAGACACUCUACAGCAACCACAAGCUUGGAAGAGGUGGAAUAUUACAUGGUCAUGAUCCCCACUCUUUUCCUUUUCUUGUUCAUACCCUCUGGAGGCUCCGCGAUAGCAGCAAGAAGCUGAUUUCUCCUGUCCCUGGGAGCACUUCUUGACUUUGAAAGAUACCUGAUAGCUUCCUUUCUCAUUGGAUUUUCAUCCACGGGAGGAAUAACUUUGCUUGAUCUUCUCUUAUAGAUCACAUUGUCUGCUGACUUCAGAUGAUCUCGUGGAAUACGAUAUUUUGGUUCUAGAUAUUCAAUUUCAACAUAUUAAGUUAGUUCCAUUUCCAGAUUUCAAGUAAUACAAACAAAAUCUUUUGAUUGGAGUGAAUUGGCUUUACCUGGAGUAGACUCAAAAGACAUCCCAUCUACACUUCGAGAUCUGGGUGGUGUCUUAGGAGGGGAACCAGCAACUCUGACUUCAUCAAACGUCAUAUGUACAUCUGUACCACCACGAGAGGAUAUACUGCAUAUAUUCUCAUUAUUAUCAUUGUUGUGUGAAGUUCCAGUAAAACAUUUACUUGCACCAACUGAGGUUGAAGCAGUAACCAUAGGUGUACUAUCAUCAGUCUCCUCAAAACCUGCAGCAUCAUGCUUGGAUCCAUCAAUCUGUUCACAACGUUUAUCAGCCGCAUCUCUGGUGUCAGUAUCAGUAACCAAGACCUCCUGACAUUUUGAUCUGCGGAAGAAAGUAGAAAUUUUCUGGCCAACAUCUCUGGGAGCAUUGGGAGUACACCCCUCAGGAAUAUUCACAGGAAAGAUGUCAUCAACAGGAUCUAGCACUGACUUGGGUGAUGUAUUCAUAAUGUGUAGUUCCGGGCAUGACAUCUGCCCUUCCUUUAAACUUGAAAACCAGGGAGUACCCUGCCUGGCAUAGAACAGAAUGUAUGCCUCUUGUGACAAAACAAAUUCUUCUCGAACCCUAGUAACCUAAAAGAUAAUCAUUAUUCCAGAAAAAAAAAAUUAGAAAAAGGAAAAAAGGAAAAGAGUAUCAACAUAUAGUGUAAAAUUUCUUUUAAUACAUAAAAAGAUACAAAUCUUAUGAAACUCACAAGACAAAUUAAUCAAACACUAUAAAUGCAAUGCAGUAGCCACAGCUGGUUAGAACUUAAAAGAGUGCCCUCUCUGAAAUUCCAACACUAGCCCCCUUGGCAUGAGCCAUUUCAGUUCAAAAAGAGUAAAUCAAUAAAAAGCGUAAAUAAAUUUUAUAAAACAAGAGCAUUCUAAUAAUUGAUGUUUAAGUUUUGUCAGAAUACUUAUGCGACUAGUGCAAUGAAGAGGCUGUUUUGAAUCUUGGGGUUAGUAGAAAGUUUUUAAGUUCUCCAAGGGUAUGGUAUUGUAAUUCAAUAACAGAGAUGUAUUUGAAGGCCAAACAUAAGUUAUCUUGCUGUACAGCAAGGCAGAUCCUAAUGAAUGAAAAUUGAGUCUUGACUUUCAUGCCUUGGUAUUUCCUCUCCUAUAUUCAGUAUAUUGUUCUCUCACUUCUCCCUUAAUUCUCUAUUUCUCUAAUUCCUUUCAAGCUACAGGAUCUAUAAACCAUCCAUUUUUCUCAAUUCAUUACAUUUCUAUUAAAUUUAUCUUUCUAAACCACCAGACACUCACACCAUUCCUUGCUUUGUCCUUCAGAGAGGACAAACAUUACUAUUGAACAACAAUGAGUGAAUUCACUAGCAAUAUAAAAUGACCCAACAUAGACUAUCUAGACAGUAAAAAGUUGUGAUCUAACCGAUUGGUACUGAAUUUCAGGGAAAUAUACAAGUUAUAACCAAGAAAAUAGAACAGAGAAACAAAAGAAGAAAUUCAUCAACAGUAAACAAUCUUUUCCUGACCCAACUUCAAAAGACAUAAAAUUAUUAUAAAUAGCUUAUAACAGGUUAUAUUUAAGACUUGUUACCUUUGAGUCAUCCAACCUAUGCCAUGUAUCUGGAGAGGAACGAAUAAAGCAAAAAUAGUGCCCAGAAGUAGCUGAAAAGCCAACAUGCUCCACAAUUGCAUAAAGUUCAUACUUCAAUUCCACCUAUUGCCAAGACACAUUGAAUGAGAACAUGAAAAAACAGGCAUAAAGAAAUUUAAGCAACGACUAAAACUCAUACAUAACAUUUGUCAAGGCCAUAUCGACUCAUGCAUAAUGAAAACAAUAAGCAUUUCCAAAUAAACUAAAUUUUAUUGUCAUAUGUCAACAAAUCAUGCAGAUACCAAUUUGGUACAAGUAAACUAAGGAGCAACUCACGUCACUGUUAUUGCUACUGGUGUAGGGCUUCAAGUCCAACUCCAAAGGAAAUUCUACAUGUUUGUCAAUCUUCUCCACAUAAUUUCCAUCAGUUUUAAAUCUCUUUAAAUGAAAUGCAGCAACUGGAGGGGCCUCAUCCACCACAAGCUGCUUCUCCACUGACACUUCUUCCUUGCAAUUCUCACAUGUAAACUUUGUCUCCGAGUCAUUUAUCUUCUCUAUCUUAGUGAAGGAUUCAAGAGCCCUAGGAAGAGAGUCAACAUCUUCGAUUUCCAAACUCAGAUCAAUCAGAGGUUCACGAGUGUCAGAACAGUGACCACAGCUACAACAUCGGAGCUGAAAGAAACCAUCGAUACAAAAUCAAUAAAAAGGAUUCACAGAAAGUUGGUUACAGUUAUAAUGAAAAUCAGGUCCUGAGGAGUCAUACUUUGCUAACAAGACUGCCACCAAACACCCUGUUCACAAUGUUUUUAUCUUCGCAAGAUGAAGUCUCAUUGUUUUUCUCAGAAUCCAACCAAGAUCUUUCUAGUUUAUCUAAAAAACAUUGCAAGAACUCAUGGGCAUCUUCUUGCUGGUAUCUUCGGAAAUAAGAUGAGAAAUCUAAGCGAAUCAAGUUAAGAAUCACAGUGCGAUAGCACAUGUACACUUAUCAGGAUAAUAAAAAUAAAAACCUUUCAAUGAAGAAAUCAACAAAUCAAGUAUAUCACAUCAGAUGAAUUGGUGUAAUAAAAACAACCAAUCAGGAUCAAUUCCCUUUGAGAACUUCAGAAGAAAAAAAAAAAGUCAAAUUCGAAUGCAUAGAAAUCUCAGUCCAGAUGAUUAAAGGAUACGGUUCAAAUUAUCAACAAGCUUUGAUGGUGAAAGUGCCCUUCCUGAGGAAACUAUUGAAAGAUCAAUGUGUUCACGGAGAGCACAAAGAACACAGAACCCUUCACUACCACCUGAAUACACCCAAUUUCACAUUAAACCCAGUACAUUAAAUAAGAAAUUAAUACAAGUUUGAAAGCACAUCAAAAACAAGCUAUGGAUCAAACACGAUAGCAGUUAGGUCUUACAAUCACAAGGCAACGGGUGAUUGGAGGAACGCAGACCCUCCACGAGGGGCACAGUAUGCGUAAAGCAUUGCAGAAUCGCAUUGAUAAAGCACGUAUUACCGAGAUUAUAAAGCCCUGCACCCUGCGAAACAAAACCAUACCCAAACUUAACUUCCCAAUAUACUUCAAUGGAAACACCACAGACCACACACAACAAAACACAAUCAAAUGAAAACACAGCAUAUUCCGAAACGAGGGCAUACCACCAUAGAGAUCUUGGAUUCUUCGACCGUAUACGGCUCAGAGUAAGCCACUGACUGCUUGCUAGACUCUGAUGAAGGCCACUGAGACCAAGAAGGCCCCGAAGACUCCGAAUGCGAAUUCGACUCAAAAUUCAGUAAACUGUCAUCAUUGACAGGAGGAGGCGAUGUUGGGUCAUCUUCUUGCAGUUGUUCUAAGCACUGCAACUCAGGAACCGAAGCCCCGUUUUCGGUUUCAAGAACAGGAACCAAAUCCAACUCGCACAUUUCUUCAGAUGGAGAAGACCCAUCAAGGGUUUCUGCAGGAACGCUGUAUUCGUCUUGGGCUUCGGACCCAAUUCGAUCUUGGUCGUCUAAGGCUUCGGGUUGCGAAAACGGUGAAGACCCGUCAAGGGUUUCUGGGAGAAUAGGCAUUGAAUCUGGAGAAGAAGAAGGUGGGUCUUGGGGAUUUGGGAGAAGUGAAUCUGAAAUGGGAAGGGUUUGGGUGUUUUGGCUCCAGAAAUUGGGAGGGAAAUGAAAGAUUGGGAGGAUUUGUGGGGUUUUCAAUUAUUUUGUUUAGGGUUUGAACAGUGCGUUGUGAAAAAAGAGGGAACCGCCAAAUGUUUGUUUUUUGGGAAAUGGUGGGAAAAUUUUCCAAAUUCCCGCGCUUAAAACCAGAAAUACUGUUUCUAUCGUAAACAUUAUAAUAUAUGUGAACGUCUUUGUAAAUACUCAUUAGUUAUGUUCUUAAUAUGUAAAUCAUACUCUUAUAUAAAGGAGCAUAAUGAGAAUGAAAGUGACACUUCUUCCUCCUCCUACAUUUUGUUCUUCUCUUUUCUCUCUAUCUCAUUCUUAAUUUAUAACACGUUAUCAGCAUGUUUUCGCUCAUUCGUUCCAUAAACUCUAUGACGAUCUAUGAGAUAUUGGUGCAACUUUUGUUACUUAUUAUCCAUACUCAUGAUCUAUGAGUUCACUUUUAUUUUGAUUAUAUCUUGUCUAUAUAUAUACUUUGUUUAUAUUACUCAAUUCUAUGUUUACAAUUGCUUAUAUUAGUGAGUCUGAAGUUUUGCUAAUAAUUCUCAAAUAUGAACUUUUUGAGAUUAUGAACCUGAAGUUCAAAUAUUACAGUAGACUUGCAAUUCUAAUUGUUUGCAUAAACCUGAAGUUUUGUGCAUGUACAUGUGAUCCAUUGUUCACAAAAUUCGAACCUGAAAUUUCGAUAUUGAUAUUACUUUCAUUUCAUAUGAACAUGAAGUUCUAAACAACAUAAUUAGAUCCAUGAUGAUCGAUGUGGUCUUAAAAAAGGGUAUGAAAGACAUGUAUCUAACGGUGAAAUAUCCGCUUAAGUUUUGCCAAACAUCGGUUGAUCAGUUACCAAGAGCAUGAUAUGAAUGGACGCUUUUACGCCUUCUAAUAUGGAUCAUGAUAUGGCUAUAGUUAUGGCUUAACCAUUUUCGGCCCAUUGACGCAUACCCUAUAAUUUAGUAGCAAUUUACAAAGCCCUCUUUGAAUGACAAUAAGACCAAAAUUAAUCAUAUUAAUUAGUCUCUUGGGAAAUCUGAGCCAUGAGUGGAUGUCACUUCACCCAAGUUGACAAUGUUUUUGUGGCUAAAUUGAAAUGUUAAAGACAUGAUCAAUGGGGGUGUUCUUAACACCGAUUAAUAUUAAGCCUAUCAUAAUGGUAUUUUGGACACCGAGUUAUUGUGAUUGAUAUGAGUGCCUUAAAUUAAGGUUAUUAUACGAGUGUAUAUGGUUAAUUUGCUUCCCAAUAAGUGCACAUAAAUAUUUUGUAGGUCAUUAAUCUAGCAAUCAAAUGUCAUUGUUCACAAUUAUGUGCACCAUUUACAAGCAUUUAUAUAUACCAAAUUUCACCUAUUAAUAACAUGGAAAUUCAUCGGUUUCUUUAUGCAGUUUUUCCCAUUAACAGCCCAAAACAUCAUCAUUCUUAGCUUUUGAAUUAUAUGUAUAUUAAUUACAUUUUAUUGGUUUCAUUACCUAGCCUGGAUGGAUGUUUCCAUAAUAAGUAGUAGUUUUGGAAUUUUAUGACUAUUGAUAACCUCUAUUUAUUGUUUUAUCAAUUCAGGUCUAGUAAUUGGUUUUUUACAGCCUUUUUGUUGUGGUAUUAGUCUUUCAUGAAACUUAUUGUUUCCAUAAUAUCAGAUUUAUUAAAGGGACUAAGGUAUGUAUUUUCCCAUUUCAUUAUUUGCAUGAAUUUAAUCUAUUCAUUUCACGACAUUCUUCGUUUUAUGAAUUCCGAGAGAAUUACAGUGAACUCCAUAAUUGAGACCUGAAGCCUCUUUAUCCAACUACAGAGGGCCUGAAGUUCCUCACGAGUAUUUUAUGAAUUCCGAGAGAAUUACAGUGAACUCCAUAAUUGAGACCUGAAGCCUCUUUAUCUUACUAUAGAGGGCCUGAAGUUCCUCACGAGUAAUAUGAUAAGUGGGGAGAUGUAGGGUAUCAUAGUAACACCAUGGACAUAAAUGAAGGACAUAAGAGGUGUUCUCCCGUGACCAUGUUUCUCGGUCCUUUGUAGGCUGAGACUUCCUCGCUUUAUACUUGAGUGGAAAGAUUAGAGGUUCUGAUAGAAAAAGGGCACAUAUAUUGUUGUCUUUCCUCUACCGGUUGCAUCUUUUGUGAUGUUGUCCAGAGUAUCUGACCAUUGGCAAGAUGUUUUUGUUAGAAAUCUGACUACCGGCAGUUUUUUCCCGAUCACUCGUCUUAUUGAAAGAUGGUCCUUAUGCAUAUUUAUUAGAAUUGGAGGAAACACGUAGCUAUUUAAGCUCUGCAUGUACCCAUUGCAAAUACACUCAUUGUGCAUGUCAUGAGAAUAUGACUAAUUCGGCCCACAUAUAUUGAAGAAACAAUAUCAUGGUAUGAGAUUAUGAAAUUCAAGUAUGUUUUAUUUUUCUUAACCUUAUUCGGUUUUGUAAUUAAAAUUGAUCGAAACCUGGAGUUUCUUGAUCAAACUAUAUGAGGGCCUGAAGUUCUUUGAAAGUGAUAUUGUCAAAUUAUUGAAAUGAAGUUUCUCAAAACUUAUGUAAUCAACAAGGACCAAAAGCUCCUUAGAGCUAUACAAUAUGGUUUUCUUGUGAUCCACAAUUAUAUGAGAGCAUGAAGCUCCAAUUUAUUUUGAUACAAUGUUAUUGUGAAAUUAGAGGAGAGAAACAAGAUUAUCAUAUUUGUGAAGGUAACUAGACCAGAAAUUCUUGUACUUCUUCACCAAUGGAACUAUAAGUUUCCAUUCUCACAUUUUACUUAUCUUUGUUACUUACCAUUUUAGAGUUUGUUAAUUAUUUUCCUCUUCUAAAUUUUAUUGUUACUCAUACGGGCCAGCAACUUUAUAGCACGAACAUAUGAAUUUCAAAUGUCAUGUUUUUGAACCAGAAGUUCAAAUUACUGAAUUAUAGAACAUAAGAAUUCCAGAUAACGUGUAAAUUAAAAGCUCAAGCCCGAAGCUGAGUAUGUAAAUUAAAUUAGUGAACUUAAAGUUUCAGUUCAGUUAUCUGAAACCUGAAGUUUCAGGCACCAAAUUUAUUUGAACUAGAAGUUCAACAUAUGAAAUCUGAGUACUUGAAGUUCUAACAUUAUAAAUUUGAACUUGAAGAUUUGAUUACACAUAUGAUUGAUGGCUCCGGAAGAACACAUAAUAUCCCCUCUUUACAAGAAGUGGUUUCAAUAUGGUUCCAGAAUAUGUAUUGAGAUCCCACAUCGCCCGAAGGAGGGGAGGAGAUGUGUUGCAAACAUACCUCCCCAUAGUGAGACUUAUUUUGGGUUGGCAACUCAAGCACAAAAUUGUAAAGCGAGCGAGAUCCAAAAUGGACAGUAUCUUGCUAUGUCGCCUAUUACGUGUGUUAAAUUCUACAAUAUAGUGAGACACAUAAUGUCAUGAACCAGAAGUUCAUUUAACCAAAUUAAUUAUUUUGGCAUGACUAGUUACAUCAUAUUUUACCUACAGUGUUGUUUAAAAUCAGUAACAACUUUUGAUGCCUGCUAGCUAACGCUACUCAUAGCAAAUUGUUUAUUUGCUGCAUAUUUUUUUGUUGGUUUGUCACUUUAAUGAGACACUUCUCUUGUUAUGAAAGAGAGAAAGAUUGUUCCUGAAAAACAACAUGAAUUGUUGUGGAAUAUUUACCUAUUGUCUCAUUUUGAGCUUGAGGAAUAUCACAGCUAGUGACUUAAUAAAAACUAUUGAUAACAAAAUUAUAUGCUAGCGGAAGAAGAUUUACUUGGGUAAAAUCCCUGAGACCAACCAUAUUAACAAAAAUAACUUGGCCCCCGUUUGAUUUGUGGGAAGAAUGAGAAUCUAAGUGACAUGGUUCUCCUAACGAGAAUGUCAUUAAAAAGUACACCAUCAGAGGAUGAUAUCUUGGUGAUACAAUUAUACAUCAAUAUGGUUGAUACUCAUGAAUUUAAUAUUUUUUGACCUUAAACUUAGUUUGGGUUUGCCACCAGCCAAUGGACAUCUUCACUCGAAAGGAAGUGAUAUACAUUUAAACGCAUUUUUAUGCAUGGUCAAAAUAAGACAGUGUUCCCGCCGUUAGGGAGAGAGAAAAGACUACUAUCAUUUGAAUAACGGCGUGAAUUUGGAGUGGAAUGUAUCCCCCAGGUCUAAAGUUUUAAGCUCCUGAAAAUGGAAGAUUAUACAUGUCCUAUAAUGUUUUAUGAUAUUAUGAAUAUAGAUCCACAUUCUAGAUAUAAUUCAUAUAUGAGAGACGUUUGUCGUAGAAGUGACAAUAUUUGCCCCAGAAGUGGCAUGGGUACCCAAUAUUAAUAAGCUUAUAAUAGCUAAUGCAUGCAUAUAAGAAUGUGUGAGAUCUAUGAAUGAUGAUCAUCGAUGAAAAUUUACAUAUGGUAGCUACCAAAGACCGUUAAGGACUGUAUGAUGCAAUACCACGUUUCAUUAUGAAUGUCGACAAUGCAUAUUAUUGGCCAAAUUGGAUAGAGGCAAUUCCAAUGAACUGAAUAUAUGAAACAUGAUGAGAUAAUUAGACCUUUAACCCUACAUGAUUCAAAAGGGUAUUAAUCACAGUGAAAAUAAAUCACUAUAUAUGGCACAAUGUCUACAAGACACAUGGGGAUUACAAAUAUCUUUCCUUAUACGUGACAAUUUUAUGUAAGUACAGUGUUACAUAUAGUUAUUGAUAAGAGAUUUACGGCAGUUGUCAUCGUAUAUUAUAAAGAUCUUAAAAGACUUCGCUAAAAGCAAAACCCCAAAAAUACAGCGUCAUCAUAAGCGUAUCGCAUAUCAAAUCCUUAAAUAAUCCACGUACAUGAAUGAUUCAAACGUAAAUCGAUCCAUGAAUACUUGAGAGAGUCUGAAUAUGAGAUUCCUUAUCGCUUAAGGGAAAUGACAUCAUGUGCCUUAUACAUGCAAACACAACUCUCAUUAGUGAGACGUGCAUGUCUUGGGUUGGAACCCAACCCAAGUGCAUGUCUUCCAACCCAAGAAGAAAGCCAUAAGGGGGAGGCCCAAAGGCGAGCAUAUCUAGUUAUGUUGGGCUAUUAAACUAAAGUUAACUCAUGCAAUCGAUAAUCUAAAGCUAGCUCAUAUAUAUUCAUUAUGUUAUAGUUAAUGUGAUCAAAAUUGUCUCAAUGAGUAUUAUGAUUAGACUACAAAAUCGAAUUCGGAUUAUGUUGCUACAUAUUCUAACUUUCGCGAAGUUAUGAAUUGCUUAAAGCUCUUGAAGAGCAUAUACAAGAUGUAUCAAUCAAUAAACGAAGAUAUUGAUAUGAGUGGUUAGAUAUGUCAUGCUAAUCUUCCAAUGGUUUUGAACCAUACAUAAUGUGUUAAUUAGCUUCUACUGCUUAGUUAUUACAUAAUGUAUGAAUUUGAACAUGUGAGGUUGUUUCUAACAUUAUAACAUGAGGUAAGACCUAUUAAAUUGUAUAGCUCUGUUGGUAUUGUCUUCACUUUGCAGGUAUGAAAAUCUUGUGAUGAGCCCCUGUAUGCAAAACGAAUAAGAUCUCACUUCAGUGAUAGACAAAUCAAACUGCUAUUUACUGUACAUGAAGCUUGCAACAAUCAGUGGGAGAAUCUCAUCAGGGGGAGCAUCCAGAAGUAUGCUACCUAGGACAUAUGUGCGUUGCACUUUUUUUCUCCUUCGACCAGGGUUGUUUUUUCCCACAGGGUUUUUAUUAUUUGACAAGGUUUUUAACGAGACAACACUAAGCGCGUCCAACAUCAGAUUAUUAAUGGACAUCCAAGGGGGAGUGUUGUAAAUAUUAUAAUAUAUGUGGAUGUCCUUGUAAAUACUCAUUAGUUAUGUCCUUAAUAUGUAAAUCAUACUCCUAUAUAAAGAAGCCUAAUGAGAAUGAAAGUGACACUUCUUCCUCCUCCUACAUUUUGUUCUUCUCUUUUCUCUCUAUCUCAUUCUUAGUUUAUUAACAGUUUCGUUUUUCUUUUUCUUUUUUAAUGUCCCUUUCUUUCUCAAUAAAAUUUAUUUGUUAGAANNNNNNNNNNNNNNNNNNNNUUUAUUUGUUAGAAGUUAGAAUACAGGCUUAGGUUUUUUUUUUUUUGAUAAACCAUAUUAUGGUUUUCGAUAUGCAAUUAAUAUAAAAAAAAUGUUGUUUAAUGAAUUUUGUGGUGUCACGGGCAUAUAGUGUAAAUUAUAUAUAAAAUUGAUGAGUUUAACGGACAAGAACAUGCUACAAUCAUUUUUUCUUUUCAAGUUGUUCUAUUGAGACUUUAAAAUUUGCUAAACAUGUCUCCAUAAUUUUUUGUAAAAUUUGUAUUUAUGACCCUCUUACAAUUUUCCAAAAAAAAGAAAAAAAAAGAAAAAAGGACUUAAGGAGAGAAGUCCCAACAUAUUAUCUUCACCACUUCCUCACAAACUUUGACUUUGAUUGUCAAAAUGGAAAUGAUGAAAGACAAUAAAAUCACUAGUAGUCAAUAGUAGCAUUAGAGCAACGGCAACUCCAACCUUCAUAUUUUCUGCAUUAUAUGGGAGCACCGAAUCAGGCAUAUCUAAUCCACAUGCUUCAACAGUUCAACUUUAAGUCUUUAACGGAUUCACUAUUUUACAACAAUAUUCAAAAUUGAAAAUUUUAAAUUUUUGGAAACUUAUACAAUCUAUUUUUCAUCACAUAUUACAAUUUUAUGAGUCGAAUUCACAAUCUCCUAUUUAUUAAACUUAUAAAAUCUUGUUUUCUCUUACAUCACAUUCCUUAUUUUAUGUUUUUUAAAUAAUAAUAAAAGAUUUACUUUUCCUUUUUUGAGGAGAAAAGAGUACUCAUUUUUUUGUUAGGAGGAAACUGUUGAAAUUGCUCCGGUGGUGGUUUGAUUAGUUCGAAUUGUAUUAUGCACAUCUUCAACGGCAGUCAGUCAUGCCACAGCGGCACAGCCAUGACUGGCAACUGGGUUUCCAGGACCAGUGGUUCAUAAUUUCAUAUGGAUACCAGUGAUAUGGCAAAGGCAUCACAACCAGACUCGGGGGAUUUAGGAUUUAGGAAUCUAGAGAGUUCUGAUUCUUGAGUAGGCAGUCAUGAAAAAAUAGGAGCUAACAUUUAUGUUUAAAGUUUACAAGAUUAACAUUGCCGAGGAGCAAAUGAUAAUUUGAAGUUUAAACAGAGUUGCCUCGCUCUGUCAACAAAAAGCAGAAAACUUAUGUUUGGUUUUCAAACCGAUAUAAAUCAGAUCUCAAACCAAUACCUGUGCUACAACAUAAGCCACUGUUAAGCCUCGAGAAUUUUCACAAGUCUUAUUUGUCUUUAAAAGAAUUUAACCAACUCUUUACAAUCACCACAUAUAGAUAAGGGAUUGAUACAAAUGAACCCAGAGCAUAUCAAAAUCAGAGGAUUCUGUCUUGAAGAUCUGUCAUCAAAUUGGAUGCCAAGGAGCUAAGCUUCUUCCCGGUCUCUCCUGCAAUAUUUUUUAAAGAAGAGAUAUCCUGCUGGGCCUGGAAAAUGGAGAGGACCCGAGUAUCAAAUACACAAACUACUUUGUCAAAACUCUGACAACUCAGAGCAGAUAAAUAUUCAUUACGAAAGGACUACAAUGAAACAAGAUACGGAACUUUCUUAUUUGGAAGGUGGUUUACCUGAAAAGAUAGACGGUUGAUAAGGUCACUCGCAGUAAGAUCAAGAGGGAUAUCAUCUCCUCUGUCACCGAAAAGGUCAGCACUGGAGAUGGCAGCAGAACCCUGGAAGUAAGAACAAAGUUACAUGUUAUAUCAACUGCAAUGGAAUUACCUCUAAGGAUAUUUCAGCCCAUCUUGUCAAAUACAAUGGUAAUUUGCACUAAACUACAAUGGUAUUUUUCCAGUUGGUUUCAAAAUUCAUUUCUCUAAACCACAGCUAUGGUUUUGUGAGUCGUUUCACAAGUCUAGGAAAUUUGGUAAAUAUAAAUACAAAUACCGCAGGAUACGAAAGGGGCAUCAUAAUAAUCCAAUUAAAUACAAUAUAUUUAGAUAGUAUAUUUAUAAAUCAGAAGAGAUUGUUAACUCAAAUAUGAAUAUAGUAGUUAACUAUAAAUAGUGAUAGUAGUCCAUACAGAGAACUUCUGCAAUGAGGCGUGAGCUUCAACAUCAGCAGAUUUGCUCUGAUCACCGAAAAAUUGUGCGGAAGAAAUAGAUUUUGCAUUUGUAAAUUUCUUCCUUGCCUCGUCAGUUUCCUGAAUCUGAUAAAAAAGAGAAAUUGGAUCUUGUAAAUGAAACAAUUGAAUAACAUUAAUGCACAAUGCAAUCAAGGCUAUCAGAUGACAAAUACCUGUUGCUUCUUUCAGAUACUGUUGUUAACAACAAGCAAAACUAGAUUACAAGCAAAACUAUGAUAGAAUGAUUUUGCCUUAUUUUCAGCGUGUUCACUUUGUGAAUGUAGCACUUGGCUACCUUUUCUUAUUUGUCUACAGAUCGUCCAUUUGUUGCUAUCCUUCUGACUCGAAAUAAACACACACAGUGUCCUUAACAUUAAUAAACAAAUAAAUAAACAUGAGUUUUCAUCUUGGCACAUUUAAAAGCAACAAAUGGACCAACAGUUCUUACCCCACAACUAGACAAUUACAUGCAAAACUAUGUUAAAAUGUUUUUGCUUAUUUUUUCAGAUUCUAUAAACUUCCAACUUUUUUGCUUUGUAAUGUAGCAAUUGGCUACCUUUUCUUCGUCGCAGAAUAAAUCACAGAAAUCCCAUUUAGUUGUUUCCCAUCUCAUUGAUAUAAAAUAAGAAGACAGAGGGACCUUAACAUUACUGAUCAACACAUGAUCCACUAUUCAUCUUGACACAAUUGAAAACAACAAAUGGACCUAACGAGCAAUCUCAACAACCAUAAGAUGCAGAUUAAUCUUGCAAAUUAAAAGAUUUCCAUAAUUAGGCUAGCAGGGGUUGAUGACACAUGAACAUAGCAAGUCUGAAACACCAUUUGAAUUCAUUCAAGGUGAUCGAAUAUUUCAAUUUAUAUCCUAAUAAUAAGUUUUAGGUCAGACCAUUAAGACUAGUAUCAAAACAGGAAAACUUUAGGAGGAUAUUCAAAAAAUGCAAAGAAGAUAUGGAAGACAAAAUUUGAAAUUUUGUACGAUACAAAGUAGACAUAAAAGUUCUUGUUCUCAAAUAUGGUGGAGAUAUUUUCUCAUCUUUGUAAUGCAGCAGCCAUAAGUUGAUUGGAGAAGGAAUAUCAUGUUUGGAAGCCAAGACUAAGCCCAACCCUCUUUGAUCCAAAGGGAAGUCUCCAUGGUAGUUUCAAGGUCUUGUCAGGUUUAUUUUCUGUUUAUGAAGAAUAAUUACGAGUCUAGUGCUUUUAACAGUAUUAAAAUCUGAGUACUCAAAGGACCUGAGUGUGUCUAUGUAAGUCUUCAAGUAUUCAAGUGUCUUAUUCUUAAUAAGUAGUCUUAUGGUGUUCUAGGAGUCUAAGAGUUGUGAUUGAAGCCUAUAGAAUAUGGCUACCUAUUUUAAACCCAAAUCAGAUUGUAAUAAAUUGAAGAUAUAUCUUAUUGAAGGCUUUGGCCUUGAAUUCUCUCCCCUAGCCUCCCACAUUCUAAUUUAACCCUUCUACAUCUAAGAAACCACUGUUUCUUCUAAAACCAUUCUGUUUUCUUAAUAUCUCAACAUUCUCCAGCCCACCAUGUUCAUUCUCUCACCAACUGCUGCUCUCAGCUGCCUUUGACUAGACUAAACGGAAAGCUCAGAAUUUAAUUCUCUAAAACCUUGGUAUCUAGACAUUUAAUUAUGUCAAACUUUGAACCUCGUCUGGAACGUGCAACAUAUAUUUCAUAAAUGCAGAAAUGUAUGUAUCAAAUCCAUAAAGGUCUACAAAUAGAACAAACAACAAUGAUCAACUUUUGCUUGAUAGUAUGCAACUGUCAUUGGUCAAACAGAACUUACUUGCACUUUUGAGGAGUUUGAACUAGUUCUCUUGGGAUAACUGCUAUCCAUUCCAAAAUCCGCAAAGAAAUUUGAUGAUUUGGGUGCAGUAACAUGGCCAGUUACCUGAUGCCCAUUAGAGUUCAUAUCAGUUGUUUGCAGAACUUCUACAUACUCAAAUCGAGAAGCCAGGGGUGUGACAGCUGGUGCGUUGCUCUUGGUUGAGGAAGCUACUGGGAUAACUGGUUCUUCAGGUUUCUGAUCAUACAGACUUUCAUUUGGCUGCAUUAAUUAAAUUUAUCUUGCUAUUAGAAAGGCAUAAUUAAUAAAAUAAAAAAAUUAAAACAAACAACUCAUAAACAUAUCUAACAUAUAGUUGUGGAUAUAAGUUCAUUAUAAGUUAGCAAUCAGAACCUUUGUAGUAAGUUUGCGGGCACCAAGUCCCCCAGUUUUCCCAAUUUUCUUAGCACCGAGGGGCUUCUUGACGGUACUGGUCACAAAUACAUGGGGGGCUUUAGGGGAAGCAGAAACUUCAGGUGUUUCUUGCUUUGCUAUGGGUUUUUCUUUCAUUGCUUCACUGGUCUUGACAUCAGGAAGCCCAUUAGAUGCUUGUCCUGACUGAGAUGCAACAGGUGAUGAUGGAAGACCUGCGUCUUCUACCAUACUUUUUGCUACUUCUUUAGAGAGUAUCUGCCUAUAUAACUCGGCAGCUCGAGAUGUAUAUUUGGCCUCAAUUUUGCCUCCAUCUGUCCAUCCAUGUUGUUUAAAGAAAACCUGUGCACGAUUAUUCCCCCCAAAGGUCAUUGUUCUCAGCUGUUCUGGAGUCCAUGAAUCUAAAUUCGUAGAUCUGAAACAGUAAAAUAAAUUCAUCGUGAGACAAAGCUUGCCUUUAAUUUCUAUUGUACUUUCAUAUCCAACUAGAAUUAGAGCAUGAAGACACAAGCUAUACAUCAAAACAUAUAUUUCUUCUAAAUUACAGUAUUUCUGUUGGAAUAAUACCAUAGUCUGACACUCUAAUUAUAGGCCAAAGUCCAUCAGUUGAACAUUGUACACAAAACUUGACUCACACUAUCAUAUUAACCGGCAAAGCUAAUUAAUCUUAUACCACAAGAAAUUUCCAAUGUAAUCAUUUGUAUGGCUGUCAUGAACCAAAAGGAAAAAUACAAUAGAUGGCUUCGAUAGAUAAUAUACAUCCAAACAGAGCGUAGAAUGGUAAUUCUCUGUGUUCAAGACAUGAAGCGCAUUUCUUGAGAAACUCAUUCGAACUAAUUGGUAAACUAACAACCAAUAUAAGCACAAGUCAAUUAAAAAUACUUCUAUUGAGCCAGCAUAGCAAUGAUUUUGAAUUAAAAACUAACAGGUUCCUUACACUUAUCUUUGUGUUGUGUCCACAACUUACAAUUUACUUAGGAGUCCCAACAAAGAUCUGGGCAAUACACACAUCAUCAAUUAUAACGCUUUUCCUUGAAAUCAACAAAUGUAAAGGUCUUUCAAAGCACGACUGGUCAAAGUAGCUCAUGAAUUACCAAACAAUAAAGCACAAAUCAAUAAGAAAAACUGCAAAGUAAUAUCAAGAAUAGCAUUUUUAAUUAACAUAACUAUCCUUAUAUUUAUGUUUUUGAGUGUAUCAACAAGCCUACAACCUAUCAUCUACCUCAGCAGUCGCAAUGAACAUGAGAACAGAGGUACCAAUUAGAUUUCACACAUUAACUAGGGUCAAGGUAUAUGCCAUACACUUUCCACCUCGGAAUAACACCAACGAGCCCCAACAAAACAAAAAUUACAAAAGCGGUCAUAAUUCCUAUACUCCUACUCAAUUCCAUCAAACACCCCUCUAAUGAUCAAAAUCCCUUUUUUUUCUUUCUUUCUUUUAGUCCAAAACGUUCAAGUUCUCAGAUUUAAUCAAUAAAACAAAAUCACUUGCUUAGAUCCCCAACACUACAAGCACGUUGCCCAUCACCUCAUCUUCAAUCUCAUGUCAUUCAAAAAAAAAUUUAAGAUCUUGCAACAUAAACCAGCUAACAGCAUUCUCAAUAAGCACCAAUAGUAACACCAAUGCAAUCACAUGCGCCCUGACGAAUUAAACAUUUAGAAACUAAGCAUCAUUGAUCCCAUAUGAAACUCACCUAACAAAGCUGAUGUGAACGCCGAGACUGCGAUGCACGGCCGAGCAAUCGAUGCAGAGGAAGAUCCCAUAUGUAACCGAAGCCCAAGUUGGGUUCUUUGCGUUACAAUCGAAGCACAUCUGAACAAAACCCAUCAAACCCAAUUAAGAUCCGCAUCGAACCACAUCUGGGUCGGUGAGAUCUGAUUAAGAUCUCACAUACCCAGAUCGAAUUUCGCUGCACAAUCACAAACCCAACCAAAAAACAACAAAAAACACAUACCUUGUUCUCCGACUUGGAUUUCAGCUUCUUGAAUACAGCAUUCUUGUCAUUGAAAAUCUCGGACGCCAUUGCAGAGAAUCUAAUUCCAACAGGAGGGGGCUGAAUCAAAUUGAAUCCGAAGAGGUGCUUCGAACGAACACCUCCUCAGGCAAAAGAGAGAAAGAGACGAAGAAGAUCGAGGUGUUUAAGUUACCCAAAGAGAGAGAAGAAGAAAAAAAAUUGAAUUCCCAAAUCGAAUUUUUAGGUUUUGGGAUUUUCAAACGAAGGCUUUUUAUUACCAGAGGUGUCAGGGUCAGGGACGGAGAGGGGUCGAGUGGAAAGACGGAUAUGCCCUUGGGGUUUGGGGAGUAUUCCUGGUGUUUGGUGGGUUGUUAUUGUCUAAUUGUCUCUGGCUUUGUGGUGGCGAGUGGCGGUUAUUACCAACCGCUAACGGCUGGGAGUCUAUGAUGGGGUCAAGCUCCACCAUCAGUUCAGUUGCUUAUUUGUUCCGGCUUCAAGUUUCUUAUUUUUGGGACAAAUUCUUGAAGCUUAAUUUAGAUGGGUCACAAAAAGUGAAAGUAUAAGUUAAGGUAGAAGCAUUCGCAUGUUUGAAGCUGAUGCAUGUGCCAAUGAACAAUUUAACAAAAGAAGUCCAAAAAAAAAAAAAUAUUGUAGCUUGCUUAGAUAAGAACAAAGACUACAAAAUAAAGUCACAAUGAACUUUAUCUCUCCGUUUGUCAAAUGAAACGGUGGGGAGACCGUAAGGGGAAGACAAUUAAACCAUAUAGAUCAAUAGAGCAGGGUGAGCAUGAACAAAAUUAGCGAGCUUGUCCGCCAUAAAAUUAGCCUCAUGGUAUGUAUGCCUAAACAUGAUAGACUAAAACUGGAGGCCAGUGCGGAGAUGUCCUUGGCGAGCAUCUUAAUCCUCCAUGGUGUCAUCGUCCUCUUGUUGAGGCAAUCUAUUAGAGUAUCCUUAAACAACUACAUGCCUGAAUUGGUUCAAUUAGUCUUUGAGUGCAAUUAGUCUUUCACUUAUUUCAUACGAAGAUGAUACUGGUCAUCCAUAUGAGGAGGCCCAACUCAAUUAUACCCAUAGUUUUCUCUCACAUAGGGCUAGAGAAACUUCGGUUAAUUGAGCCGUGGAGGCUAGGGCAGGCCUGCUAAUUAAAUUGGUACCUAGUUUGGAAUUUAGUCAUUUACAAUCGCAUAAACCCUUGUUGACGUACAGGAGCUCAAGAACCCUAUAUAUGGCAGUAGUAAAGUAGUAAUGAAACUCAAAGAAAAGAAAUUGAUUACUGGAUUACAUACUUGUUCAUUCUUUUUUAUUUACCUAGCUACCAGCUGCAGUACAUGCAGUUGACAUUCAUAAAAGAUCAUCAGUUCAUCACUAUAUAUAUAACAAACACAUCGUUCCCCCAAAUAAUAGAAACGAUCCUCCACGACGAUUGGAAAUAAGAAAGCUGGGUAGAUCGAAUUGACAAAUUGAAGAAAGAAGGUAGAAGCAAAACUAAGCAGUCUAAUUUGCCCCGUCUAUAUGUAUGUUUGAUAUGUCUUUUCAUAUAAUUGAGGUCUUAAUCCCACAUUGCAUAUCGUUUAAGCUAGAUGGACAGCAUUAAUUCUGAAAUGGCAAAUUAAGGCUGAAAUGGAAAUUAUGUGAUGGUGAAAGUAACAGUGCAAUAUAUUAUCAGAGGGAGAAAUGAAACACUAAGAACAUAGAGAAGCAUAAUGCCUUAAAAUAUGGAUCGAAGAUCUCGGAGACUAGCUAGCUAGCACUUGAUGGGUGAAACAAGAAACUGUUUGCUAGCUCUAUCUAUUGUUCCAAACCAACAGAGUGAACUAUUUCAAUCCCAUGCGUCCUCCGCAGACUACGACUAUACAGAGCUACAAACCCUCCUACUUGGACAGUACUCUACAAUGUCUCUGUAGUUUGGAAUCUGAUUUCACACGACUCCCACCACAAUGAUUCAUUCAUGUUUAAUUUAGCAAUACAGGUACGUGCUUUAGACUUUUGCGGUGAAACGUGAAAAUGUAUCUUUCAGGUGUGAGUUUUCUUAGAUUUAAUUUGCGGCUUUGCAGUUUUUAAUUUACAUGCCAAUUCCAAUAUAAUUCUCUUCGACAUCAAAAUUUUGGCAAUGUAUUUUUGUCAUCGUAUUUAUCAUGCAUCGACAUUUUAGACUUUUUAGUGUACGAUUUCGACCUCCUUCAAUGUUUUGCAACUAUAAAUGGCCCCAAAUCGAUCUUCGAUUCCUCCACUAGCUUACAUGUUGGUGUCCAUUACUAGCUUGUUCAUACUUGUAUUAUUCUAGUUGACGAUGAAAGUUUGAGGGCAGCAAGGGUUCAUCUUUCUGCAUGUUUUUAUUUUAAUUUGAUAUUAUAAAUAAAAUUAAGAAUUAGAUUCUGGCAUUCUACGUGCUCAACUUAAUUUGAGAAAUCAUGAACACUGGCCUUAAACAAAAAACAUGGACGAAUUAUUUAUUUGGAGUAUGAAAAUAACCAUUAUUAUUCAUAAAAAAGGUAGUCACUGUCAUGUGCACGUUUAAAAUGUAGACUGAGAAAUGUUCAGGAUUCAUGUAUCAGAACCAAGAAUGUCAUAAUCAGUGUCGAUCGGUUUUGUUAGUUUGUCUUCGACUUUAAUCAUGCAUGCUAUAGUAUCUAUCAUAUUACUAUCAGUAAAAUGUUCUAAUUAAGCUAAUGUAACUGCAUGCAUGUCCAAAAACAACAGUUUGAGCAGUGAGCACUAUAUAUAUAAAGUUGCGGCUUUCGAUAAGUCGAUUCCAUCAUACAAUGCCACAUCCAGGACCACCCGGCCAACUCACUAAUCAAAUCAAUAAUCAACUAACUAACCACAUUAGUCUAAUUAAUCAAUCAGAAAAACAUAUUAAACAUGUGCUUCAUGCAACUUUCCAGAUAUAUAUACUCCUACUAAGUCACUGAGACUACUCAGACUAAUACCAGCUGGUACCUUUUCAAUCUUUUUGAUCUAUCUGUGAUUAGAGUAGCUGUACGCGUACCUAAACUGCUCAACAUCAUGAGCAGAAAACAUAUAUAUAUAUAUGCCUCCUUGUAUAUGAUUGCUCGAUCUGCUUCUACUCCGAUCCACACACAUAAUUUGCUGUGUCUUUCUCGUCGGAGUUUUUAGGGUUAGGGUCUCUCACUCCGGCCGUCACAGUUCGGACCACGUGUUUCUUGCUGAGUCUCAUCAAGCUAAGCUCUCGUACCGUCGUACGUACGCGGCGGCAAGCUGCUUGUACCUCUUCGUUCGCGGAGGAACCAUGAGCUAGUGGUUAUUGUGGUCCAUGAAAACAAACAGAUCACUUGAUCGAUUUUUCUUAUUUAGUACAACGUGCAUGCAUGGUGACUGCUGGCUCCGACCACUUCCAGCCAGUGAGAGCUAGCUAGGGUUUUUGAUUGGCCGGUGAUCAUCAUCGUUCAUAAUACUAGCAGAUCGAUCGACAUGGUCCAACUUAACUUCAUUUAUUUAAAAUCAGAUUGCAUUAAAAUAUGCGUAGUGCUAGAGAACCUUAAUGAGGGUCUUAAUAAGGCCUAAGAUUUAUGGUCUUAAUCUUAUGUGACAUGUCAUGUCACGUCACAUAGAUACAUCAUCAAUUUAAUAAAUCAUAUUAUUUCAUUUUUAAGUAAAUAUACAAUCUUAACCUUAAUAAUUAAUGGAUGAUAUAUACUAAUAUGAAAUAUUUUAUUACCCUUUUAAUAUAGAUGCGUAUAUAUAUACCAAAUUUAAUUAAUUUAUUAAUAAUAAUGACCAAGUUAAUAAUCAUACUAAGUUAGGCUUUUAUACCAUAAAUCAAUUUCAUAAAUUUAUUAAAAUUCCCUUCUAUCUUUGUGAAUUAAUCGAAUUUUAGUUCCAUUUUAAUAUUUUAUUUUUACAGUUUAAAAUUAUGAUAUCUAUAUAUAAUUCAUAUUUUGUAUCAAAUUUUUAAAAUAAAAUAAAAAAUAGAAAAAUCUCUAUCGAAUUUCUUUUGGAUGAUUAUGUGUGUGUAUAUAUAUAUAUAUAUAUAACAAAAAUAACCUGGUUAGUAAAUUUUGUUUUUUCUUGGAACAAAUUAUAUAUGUGUAUAUAUAUAUAUUUUUUUUUUUAAGAAUUCGUGUUUUUGAACAAGUAUAUUCUCUGAAAUAUAUGUAUUUUCACACUAUAUGUUACGUUCAAUCUAAGCUGCAUGAUACUGAUGAAAAGAAAAAGAAAAUGCCAGAAAUAUAUAUUUUUUAAUUAUAAAAAAAAGACAAAUCAAUUUUGUUCUCUUAAUAAAAAGACAAAAUAAUCUAGAACCAUUAGAUUUUGAAUGAUAAGAUUAUAUUUUUGUUUAAGAAGGACAUGACAUAAUAUUUUUAAUUUGUGAUGUGUGUAGGUGACAUAACAUGCCACCUAAGAUUAAGGUCAUAAAUCUUAUGUUUUAUUAAGGCCAAUAAUCAUUUUCCUUAAAAUAAAUCGUGGUGAAAGCUACCCAGCUGGUAGGUUCGGUAUUGGAAGAUAAACAUGCAUAAGUUAAUUAGUAGGUAAAAAAGUAUAAUACAUGAGAUCGAUCAUGAGCAUUUCCGUUAUGCAUAAGUUAAUUUUGUAGCUAGUGGGUUAAUAAUAAGUUAGUGGCAUGGGUUAAUAAUACAUGAGAUCGCUCUGGUUUUUGCCAAUUUAUAAGCUAAAGUCAGGGAUUAUACCCCUAUAUAGAAAGGAAAAACAACUAAAUGCUAUAUGGAUACUCAUCAGUCAUCACCAGAAGAAAAAAAGAAAAAAAAAUUAGUGAGUCGGAGGAAAGCCGAAUAAGACAAGGUAGGUACAUUCUCAAAUUAGAAAAUUUCAUCUAAGUCACAUUCUCAACAUUUUCUCUCACACAAGUCCACUCUUAUUUUUUUACCCACAUAAGUCCACUUUUUAGCCCAAAUCCAUUAGAUUUGCUUUACCCUAUACCUAAAAUACCCCCUAUCUCAACUAAAAUCAUCUUCACAUAUUCUUCGUCCGUUUCUUUCAUCAAAGAAACUCUCUCUCUCUCUCUCUCUCUCUCUCUCUCUCUCUCUCUCUCUCUCUCNNNNNNNNNNNNNNNNNNNNNNNNNNNNNNNNNNNNNNNNNNNNNNNNNNNNNNNNNNNNNNNNNNNNNNNNNNNNNNNNNNNNNNNNNNNNNNNNNNNNNNNNNNNNNNNNNNNNNNNNNNNNNNNNNNNNNNNNNNNNNNNNNNNNNNNNNNNNNNNNNNNNNNNNNNNNNNNNNNNNNNNNNNNNNNNNNNNNNNNNNNNNNNNNNNNNNNNNNNNNNNNNNNNNNNNNNNNNNNNNNNNNNNNNNNNNNNNNNNNNNNNNNNNNNNNNNNNNNNNNNNNNNNNNNNNNNNNNNNNNNNNNNNNNNNNNNNNNNNNNNNNNNNNNNNNNNNNNNNNNNNNNNNNNNNNNNNNNNNNNNNNNNNNNNNNNNNNNNNNNNNNNNNNNNNNNNNNNNNNNNNNNNNNNNNNNNNNNNNNNNNNNNNNNNNNNNNNNNNNNNNNNNNNNNNNNNNNNNNNNNNNNNNNNNNNNNNNNNNNNNNNNNNNNNNNNNNNNNNNNNNNNNNNNNNNNNNNNNNNNNNNNNNNNNNNNNNNNNNNNNNNNNNNNNNNNNNNNNNNNNNNNNNNNNNNNNNNNNNNNNNNNNNNNNNNNNNNNNNNNNNNNNNNNNNNNNNNNNNNNNNNNNNNNNNNNNNNNNNNNNNNNNNNNNNNNNNNNNNNNNNNNNNNNNNNNNNNNNNNNNNNNNNNNNNNNNNNNNNNNNNNNNNNNNNNNNNNNNNNNNNNNNNNNNNNNNNNNNNNNNNNNNNNNNNNNNNNNNNNNNNNNNNNNNNNNNNNNNNNNNNNNNNNNNNNNNNNNNNNNNNNNNNNNNNNNNNNNNNNNNNNNNNNNNNNNNNNNNNNNNNNNNNNNNNNNNNNNNNNNNNNNNNNNNNNNNNNNNNNNNNNNNNNNNNNNNNNNNNNNNUGUUCGUCGGAAAUCUCACAGUAGUAGCUUUUGUAGGCGGUGGUAGUAGCUUUUGUAGCUGGUGGUAGUAGCUUUUGUGUUCGUCGAAAACCUCACAGUAGUAGCUUUUGUAAGCGGUGGUAGUAGCUUUUGUAAGCGGUGGUAGUAGCUUUUGUAAGCGGUGGUAGUAGCUUUUGUGGCUGGUAGUAGUAGCUUUUGUAGGCGGUGGUAGUAGCUUUUGUAAUUGGUAGUAGUAGCUUUUAUAACUGGUAGUAGUAAUUUUUGUCAUCAUCGGAGGUCGGCCGGAAACCUCGCCGGAGGUUGGUCGGAAAUCUCGCCGGAGGUCCGCUGAAGACUGUUCCGAAAUGAGAGUGGUUGUUGACUUUUUAUUCUAGUGGCAUUCUUGUAAAUAUAAUGGAGAAAAUCUAAUUUUUUUUGUUGGAUGGCAGUCUGUAAUUAUGUUGAACUUCAAUACUUAAUACAAAACCUUAUUUAGAUUUGGGUGGACUUAUGUGGGUAAAAAUGUUGGGGUGGAUUUAUGUGGGAAAAAAUGUUGGGGUGGAUUUAUGUGGGAAAAAAUGUCUCAAAGUGAACUUAUAUGUAAUUGGUCCUUCUCAAAUUUGGUAGAAUUCGAUCAUCCAGCUUAAAAUGGCGCCCACUGAGGACCCACCGUGUGUUGACUUGUCGUUUUACCACACUACCACCUGCCAAAGCCGCCAAAGCCAAAGUGCCAAACUGUGAAGGCUGUUAAAUAUACGUACAAUAUACAUGCCGACGAUACCGAACCGGUCCAUGCAUGCAUCGAGUCACUGUACGACGUCGUGUAACUCGUUGUCGUGUACGAUUCGCAGAGGCUGCUACAAAACAACGAACCAGAUAAACAACACGAAUUUUUAAAAAACAAAAUACCAUUAAUAUAUAACAGAAAUAAAUAGAAAAAUAUAAUAUAGACAGGCCAUAUCUGAUUGGUUGAGUUGAGGGACUUUAGGUUAUAAUUGCCUUCACGUUCGUUUAGUUCCUGCGACUUUUCCUCAUUUCUCCAUGCUCUGCAUUUGUCUCGAUCAUCCUAAUGGAAGGUCCUACAGUGGUCGAUCAUCUUGGUCAUUUUUGGCCAAGUAAGAACUUGAAGAUGAUACCCCUUUUCAGGAUUUUGACAAUUUUUUUUUUUUUUUAAGUAGAAGGUUUUUGACAUUUGUUCAUGGGAGGCAUGUGAAAUCGAUAUGGCAUUCUUAGAUUGGACCGGUUGCCUCUCAAUAUGCACCGUCAGUUUUAAUUCAUGCAUGUUAUUCAAGAAUUUUGGGAGGUAAUUGAGAACUGAGAAGAGAGUUAAUUAUACGGUGUGUCUUUAUCAGAUCAUAUACGAUUAUAAUUGUAACCAAAGAGAUCAGUACGUGAAUAAUUUCAGAGUAAUAGAUAUCAAAAUCAAUACCUGUUAAUCGACGAGUUACGUGAUCUUUUGAUUGAUGGUGCACGGUGAAACCUGAUGUGAGGUGAGCAAGUAUGUAAUUUUGAUAUCUUUUAUAUGCCAGAAGUGAUUCUGAUGAGGACCACUAAGUUGAAGACUAGUUAAAGACUUCUUCGUUUUACCCAUUUUUUCAUUCGAAUAUUCACAUUUCGACCGUCUAGUUUGUAGAGAUAAUUUACUGUAGAUAUAUAUGAGUAGAUUAUUUUUAUAAAUUUUCAUUCAAAUUGAAAAUCGUUAAAGCAUUCAUAAAUGUGAUUUACCAAUUAUAAACUAGAACUACUCAUGUUUGACAGAUUUUGAUCGUCUACUGAUUUGAUUUAAUUCGAUCCCUUAACGAACACUAAUUUGGCUGAAAAUUUGUAUAAGUAAUCUACUUAUAUAGACCUAAAAACUGAACGAUUGAGAUGAAAAAAUUUAAUUGAAAAAUAGGUGUAAUAAACGAUUAAUGAGAAAGUCCUCGACUUAGUAUUCCUCAUUAGAACUCCUCCAUCUUCGACAAGUUAAAAUGAACAAAAUAAUCUUCAAUUUCAUAUGAGAUUGCUUGGAUGUAUAGCAAGAAGACAACCAUUGUGGCUGACCUGAUGAGUUCGAAGGGUAAAAAGAAGAACACUAGGCCUAAUAGGAAAAUUAAAUUCAUUAAAUGUCAAAAGUUGGUAAAAGUCAUAAACUAAAUUUUUAUAAAAUCUACUUACAAGGCUUCUUUGAUUUUCAACUCUCACUUGAAAUUGCCUAGUACCGUUUGAUCUAAUGAUAUAGUCUCUCAUUAUUAGUGAGAGGUCGUGAAUUCGACUCACAGUAGACUCCUUAUAGUUGCCUUUUUGAAAAGAUUACCGCAUUCGGCUUUGUAUUAAGUAAAAAAAGGCCACGUAAUAAUCAAGCCAUGCAGGGUACCCUAAAGUAACUUAAUAUAAUUUCCAUGUGAUGAAGCAUAAGAGAACAAAGAACCAUUAGAACCCUAGACUUGCUAACAACUAGCUUACUGGGGGUUCAAAAUAACAGAUUAAAAACCUAAAGAAACUAGAUUAAAAACCUACUUAGCUAGGCCCACCAUAAGGCAGACCCAGCCCAUAACGAGGCCCAUAGUCCAACUAAACCCUAGCCCAAUUCCAUCACCAUCUCCCUGUGCUGAGAACGCCGCCGGCCGCCAGAAGAUCACGACAACACGUCAGUCGCCCGCCGCAAAGGCCACCGCCAACAAGCUACCUACCACCUCUAAGAUCUGAUCUUGAAACACUAGACCCGAUCUUAGACGAUCCGACAGCACCCAGACUGCAGCAAAACACCAAGCAACUACCGCAGAUGGCAAACCACCAACCAUGCCCCCCUUGAAUCGUCCAACCGACUCCCAGCCACACAGAGACGAUGACAAAAUAAACCAGAUCAUGGAGCCGACUUCAGAUCUCCGCAAAUCCAAAAACCAAGAGGCCAUGGACAGUCAAUACCCGUCCAACAACCUCAUAGCGACGACGAGAUCAGCCCGCCCGACGCAAAGAGCAGCCGGACGAGAGAGAGGAGAAGAAGAUUUGCUCGAGAGCGGACGACACACGGUGUAGUCUCUCUAGGUUAGAGAGCUAUUUUCUCAGCAUAUUAUUCGUUUAUUUGAUCCAAAAAAACAAAAAAACAAAAAAAACUCACUUGAGAUUAAGUUAUGUUCAGUCACAUGUGUUAUUAUGUUUUUUUUCUUCCUAUAAUUUAAUAUAUAAAAAAAUACAUAUAUAUAUAUAUAUUUAAAAUCUUACAUACGUGUAAUUUAUAUAUUUGAUUGUUACGAUUGGGAUUAUAGGUAGGAUCGGAUGAGAUUAGACUGCUUAUAUAAUAAAAUAAGAGUUGUCUCAUUUUUAGCCAAAACAAAUAUUUCAUUUAAUAGGACCAUGCAGUCCCAAAAACAUCUUCAACGCUUUCUUAUAUAAACACUAAACAUGGAGGGAUUGUCGAAGCCAAUGUAAUACAACGCAUCUCAUUCGGUGUUUUUUUCGCUUCUACCUCUCCCUCACCCUCACCCAAUUCUUUAUCUUCUCCUUAGACUACUCUUGUUCAGGUUUAGCUUUUGGAUGGGUUUUUCUCAAUUCAACAAUGGAUUUGAUAAGAAUUGAUCAAUUUCAUGAUUUGCGCUUCCUCUUUUAAAAUCGUUUGGGUCGCGAUUAAUUUGAUUAAAGAGUACUUUAUUUGGGUUACUUACGAGUGGUACCAGUUUGAGGAUUGCUGUUGGAUCAAGUAUAAAUUGGUUGUUGGUGGACGCCUUAUAUUUUUGCAAAAAAUUGGCUCCGCUGUGCUAGUUCAAUGGAGGUCCAAGAAGAACGAACCUCAAUCCAAAACUCAGGUGAAACAAAGAUGGUAAUAGACAUGCCCUCACAUUUGCUUCUAUAGUCUUGAGAAGUGAGGGGCGUUCUCAUGAGGGGAAUGAAGGGUGAGAUAUAACUGGAAUGGUGAGGUGUAAUGCGGCUGUUCAGAAUGUGCUUGUAUACACACAUCAAUGUGGCGUGUUGGGACUGCACCCCAAAGUAACGGUCCGUCUUAUUAAUAUUAUUGUUCCGACGUUCUUGGGUUUGCAGGUUGAUGGUGUAUAGUCAUAGUGGUUACAAAUAUGAGGUCAUGACAUCUGUAGCAUAAGCCAGGUUUGAGGAUGUUCGGCAGUUUGGGAUGAAUUAAAAAAGAGAAGUGAAAUCCAUACUGUUUAAAUUAAAAUCGGUAUUCUCACUUUUUAUUUUUAAUAAUUUAAAUGUUGUCUUUAGUGAAUUAAAUUUUAUAUUCUUAUAAGAAUGUUGAUUAAAACUAGAAAGUGAGAGUGUGAAUUUCAAUUUAAGAUAUUUGAAUUUCAGUUUCCUUAAAGAAAUGGCCAGACAAUGCUAAAUCGAGCUCAAAUAGGGCAAGACUGUUGAAGGCGUUAAAACGAGGUAGCACAAUCACCCUAUCCAAACACACACUAUAAGGAGUUAAGGACUACAUUGGAAUCAUGUUCAACUAUAAAAGAAAAAUGUAAAUUUAAGCCAUGCCAAAAGAUUAUGAUAAACAUGUAUCACAUAAACAAGUAAACAACUGGUUGAAAUCACUAUCUCCUCAAUGAACAGGCAUGUGCAAAUAUUACUCUAAUGACAAUAGAGUUCACGCACUUUGCUCCCCGAUCAAAGUUAAUAUAGUACUUGCUUUUGCGGAAUAUUAUAAUGAAAGGCAUGACUAAUCUUAAUGGAACCAUGUCCUCAUUCAUAACCCCGAUUAACAAAAUAAUUAUAUUAUUUUCUUAAUCACUACUUAAAAGCGUGAUGUAUUCGAUAAUGACAGGAUCUUGAUUCCUUCCAGUGAUUAUCUGAUUAACUAAUACCACCUUACGAAUGGAAUUUCUAAUUAAAAUGAUGAUGAUAAUGAUAAUUAAAAGCGUGGUGUAUUCGAUUAUGAUAAUCAUGUCUUGAUGUCAUUUUGUCUCGUGAUACAUGAGUGUAAUUUUAAAAUAAAUGUUUUCAUCUCGUAAUAAUGAGUUGUGUUGAUAUCUAUAAUUUUACUUGAUGCGUAAAUUAGAAAUUAAAUUCUAAAAGUCUUCUAAACUAGAUUCGUCUAACCAUCUUGAUGAUCGUCCAACAUAUCUAUAAGAUAAAUAAAAUUCAUCAAAAUCAGUAUGGUGUUAAUCAAAGAUCAUAUGAUCACUAGUCAGUGUUAAUUAACCAAAGAUCACAUAGCACACUGCAAUUCAAAAACUUCGAUCAAAAUCAUUAAAUAUAAACCUUUGUAAGUCUAAUUAUGGACAUGUAUAAAGUCUCGAUCGAAAAAGAAAAAGAAAAAGAAAAAAAAGGUCUCGAUAGACUUUUGUGAUUAAUUGAGUACGUAUGCUGUACUACAACGCAUACAAUACGAUAAGCCACCACCAUCAUGCAUUGUUGUACCUAAAAAGCCCCACUUUGUGAAUCUUAAUUUGCUGAAAAUGAAUCAAGAAGAGAGACAAGUCACAGACUCAUUUGAAAUCAAGAAGAGAGAAAGCUAGCUGUGUGCUAAACAUGAAUCAAGAAAUUUGAUAAAUCCUUCACUUGGUUUCAUGGCAGCUAGAAAACUAACAGUAGUAGAUUGAGAAGGAAGCUAGAAAAGUUACGUUAACACAAAAGAAACAGAUUUACCUUCCAAGAACAACCGCAACAGGAACUCAGGAAGAGUGAGAUAAGAAGAGGUUCAGAGGUCCAGUGAAGCAAAGCUAUAGUAGAGCUGCAUGAAUAUAUAUAAUCCCCCGACUCCAUGAUUGAUGAUGAGGUUUGACCAAAGAAAAUAAAAACGAUAAUAUAUUAAAACCAAAAAUAAAAGAAAAGAUAAAUAGAAACAAGGUGGGAGGGGUUUUUCACAUGGGAAAGUGGAAUAUACACGUGCCCAACACAAUACAAUAAUAUCUAAAAACCCCAAAAAAUAAAAUAAAACGUGCUUUUACGACACGCAUCAAGCAAAACGUGUCUGAAUAAUUAAAUCCUUUAAUUACUGUAUUAAAUUUAAUUAAUCAGAAAAACACAGAAAGAGACGAACGAGGGCGACCUAAUCAAGGGUCGGGAUUAGCCCGUGAUGCCAGCGCGUCCCCGCGGGGCCCACACCUCAUGUUUGGCUUUGUUUUUUAUUCUGUCCCUGAGCCCCCUGCUUGCGAUUCAUUUCAAUUUCUUGACCAAAAGUUAGAUGGAUCGCCGAGUUUUUGGCGAGUGGCGGCUGCUGCUUCACGGAAGCUACGAAAUCUGACCUCAUCUAAUGUAAGAACCUCGGGAGGAUUUACAGUCAGCUAUGUUUCAGGUCAUUUUGGGAUGUCGGUCGCUCCCCUUUGACGAGCAUCGUAUCCGUUGGGGGGUUUCAUCGAUGAUGAUUCUAGUAAGUCUCUUUUUUAAAGAGAAAUCAGAUAAGGGAAGUGAAAUCAACAUUUUUUUAAUUGUAAUUCAUAUUUUUAUUUUUUAUGGGUUAUAAAAUUUACAUAUCUUAAAUUGAAAUUUACACAUAAUUUUUUUAAUAACUUAAUUUUUUUUAGUUGACUUAAAUUUUGUUUUGUUUUGUUUUUUUGUGUGUGAAUAUGUUACCUAAAAAAAGGAAAAAUGGUGUGUAUAUUUUAAUUUGGGGUGUGAGAUUUCACAUCUCUUUUUUAUUUUUAAUAAUUAUUUUUAUAAGAAGACAAAAGUUAUUAAGGACAAAAUUGAAGUUACAAAAAAUAAAAAAUUGGAGUGUGGAUUUCACUUUCCUUAAAGAAUAGUGUAUGUUGUUGAGGUGCUACAUAUAUAUGGGACAAUAAAUUAGUUUGUUCGGAUAUGUAAUGAGUUGUCCGUCUUAAUUAAUCAUAUAUUAAUACAUUAGAUGAAAGAGCUAAAAUUAUUUUUCUUCCUUUACCUAUCUAUGUACUCAAAAUUGUUUGUGCUAAAAAAAAUAAAAAAAUAAAAAAAAAAGUUGUUUGUGCUAUCUCAUCGAAUAUUUUUUUGUUUGUGUGACGGAUUCGAUCACAUUUGUGCUCAAGAUAUUAAAUUAUGUAAUAAAUUGUCAAUCACAUUUGUACUACCUAAGUUUACCAAUUUUAGCCAAAUCUUUUUAAGUCAUCAAUAGCUUCAUGAAAUGUUGACGUGAAGAGUUCACUCAAAUUGUAAUUUGCCCUUGUGUCACAAGUAAAAUACACAAUUACAUUAUUACCGUUAAAAACUAGAAAACCUUAAUGAUUGGACGCGUCUCAUCAACAACUAAUGAAAUAACUGACUAAUUAAUUAGUUUAAGAAGACAAAACAAAUUUAAACUCUAAAAUUUUAUGCAUGAAAUUUAUGGCGGACGAACUUAAUCUCUCUUGAAUUUCGCGUGCAAAAGGUAGUUUUUCAAAUAAGCUGAUGCGCCUCUAUUAUAGACGUCCAAAACUUUUCGUUGAAGAUUUCUUCUUGCAAUCAACUCCUCAAACCUAAUUCACAACCAAUUAGGAAUCUUAUUCAGUAUAAGAUCAUUCCAAAAUGGACACAGGUAAUAAACACAAAUCAUAAUAGAACUCCAUUCCCACACAUUCUUUCUCAAGCAACAACCUAGCUGUAAACAUUAAAACCAAUAUUCACCAAAUCAGAAUUAAACGACAUCCCAAGCCAUUCAUGUUUCUUUGCUUUGUAUAGGAAGGACAAUAUACAAUUAUGUAUACUAAUACAUCAUCGGUUAGUGAGCAGGCGGACACUAUAUCCAUAUCGACAAUAAUGGAAAGAUCCAUAUUGAACCGUAUUUGUUUCGCCUUAUGAUUUUUUCCAUAAAAAAAAAGAGACAUGAAAGUACGUGAGAAAAACGAUCCACUCCAUUGAAAAUUGUCCACUCCUCAUUUAAAAAGAUUAUGUAUUAAUUUUGACGGCAUGAAAAAAAUGAAAACUAAGAACUACGCGUUAUUGUCGGUAAUUCUCGCACACCACCAAGCAGUGCCUCCCACAUUCAUGGCAACCAUAUCCUUCCACUUUCAUUAACCUCGAGUUUCAUUCUUUUUCUAGAUAUAUUUUUCAAUGCUCACAGCAAAAUCAAACAUUUCAGAUGAAAAUUCAGACUCAAAAAGAAAUUCAUAAGAUUAGGCGGUAUGUUUUCCCUUCUAAUACCUUCUUUAUUGUGCUUAUUAUCGUGUGGGGUAAUGCAUGUAUUAUCACUUUCGUUUUGCAGGAAUUUAUUUGGUUGUUUUCUUUCUCAAAAGUUCACGACAUAAGGCAAGAAUUUAGAUCUCUUGUAUCUAUUUUUAUUGUCUUAAAUUUUGGGUAUGUAGCUCUUUUUUGUUCUUACUCAAAUGAGUUCAGAUGGUUGUAACUUUUCAUUGCUAUCUCUCAAACAAGCAUGAAAAAUUUGUUUACAUAUUCGUCCGCAGGUCAAAUUGGAUGUGUAAUUAUUAAUUAUCAGUUUCAUGUUCUAAUGAAACUCGUAAUUGUAAAAAAUGAUUUAUUUUGGUUACGGGCCUAGAAGAAGAAAAUUCAAGACAAGAAUUUCGUAAGACAAAAAAAAGAAACUAAAAAAUCUGGACUAUGAUGCGUUAAGAUAAAUGAGUUAUUAGAGCUUAUAACUUUCUUCGUAUGUCUUGAAAAAAAAUAUGAUAGAGAAUAAAAUAUAGACGUUUUUCAAAUAAACAUUAAGCAACCACAUCACGUCUUAAAGAUAACAAAUUUAUGAAAGAAUUGUUACUAGUUCGUCCAUUCUACCAAAGUAAACAAGAAAUUGGAAAGACUAAGAUUUAUUUCCUUAUCAACAAGAAAAGAAGUAAAAGAUUGAAGUGUUGAACUGUACACGCACAUCUGCUUUAAAAAGAAAAAAGAAAAAAACUGUAAGAAUCACAUUGGAGCAAAAUCAGCUAGCACUGUGAUCUGUGGUCAGUCCAACCUUCUCUUUCUUUCCUCAGGUCCCCAUAAGUCAAAGAGAUCCCAGCCAAGACAUGCAUUGCACGUGCCACACGGCUAAACUUCCACACCGAGUAAAAUAUAGCUCUCCCCUCCCGAUUAGUUCACUAAAUCGCCAUAUCCUCGUUUCUGAGAAACUUCAUCAAUCUCCUCUCUGUUUUUUACUAAACCUUCAGCUCAAAUCCACCACAAAUAAAUCCCCAUUUGUUCUUCUCCCCCAUCCCUCCUCCCCACACCCACUUUUCCAAUCCCACCAAAACCCAAAACGCUGUUUUUCAUCACAUGACGGACUACCGGAUACCACCCACCAUGAAUCUCUGGACAGACGACAACGCCUCUCUCAUGGAGGCCUUCAUGAGCAACUCCGAUCUCACCUCCUUCUGGGCCGCCCAGCCGGCCCAGCCCGCCGCCCACCCGCUCCACCAGCCCCAGUCUUCGGCUUCCACGUCGGACUACCCCCGCCCCCCGGCGCAGGCGCCGGCUCCGGUAUCGGCGCCGUUCAACCAGGAGACCCUUAUGCAGCGGCUGCAGGCCUUGAUCGAGGGCGCCAGGGAGAGCUGGACCUACGCCAUCUUCUGGCAGUCUUCGUACGACAUGUCGGGCGCCUCCGUGCUCGGCUGGGGCGAGGGGUUCUACAAGGACGAGAGGGACAAAGUAAAAACGAAGCCCAAAACGACGACGUCUCUGGUCGAGCAGGAGUACAGGAAGAAAGUUCUCAGGGACUUGAACUCCUUGAUUUCCGGCGCAGACACCUCCGCCGAUGACGCCGUCGUCGAUCAGGAGGUCACUGACACAGAAUGGUUCUUCCUCGUUUCCAUGACCCAGAAUUUCGUCAACGGCGGCGGGCUGCCGGGUCAGGCCUUCUUCCACUCCAACCCGGUCUGGGUCGCCGGGCCGGACCGCCUCGCUGCCUCUUCUUGCGAGCGGGCCCGCCAAGGUCAGGUGUUCGGGCUUCAGACCAUGGUCUGCGUCCCGACGGCGAACGGCGUCGUCGAGUUGGGCUCGACGGAGCUCAUAUUCCAAAGCUCGGAUCUGAUGAACAAGGUCCGUGUUUUAUUUGACUUCAACAAUCUUGAAGUCGGUUCUUGGCCUAUGGGCGGCGCCGCCGAUCAGGGCGAGAGCGACCCGUCGUCGCUCUGGAUCAACGACAACCCGUCCAGCACAAUCGAAGUUGUCAAAGAAUCAGUCAACAUAGCUCCGGCGACUUCAGGACCCAGUACCAGUAACCAUCACAUCUCCAAGAAUCCGAUUCCGUUCGACAAUAACCACCCUAGCUCCAGUGGCUUAUCGGACAAUCCCAGCGCCGUUCUCCAAGUCAGUCACCACCAGCAGCAACAACCCCAGCAGCAAGUCACGCAGACGCAGAGCUUCUUCACCCGGGAGCUCAAUUUCUCCGAUUACAAUGGUUACGACGGCAGCAGCGUCAAGAACUCGAAUUCCAAUUCACACUCCAUGAAGCCGGAGUCCGGCGAGAUAUUGAACUUCGGUGAGAGCAAGAGGACAUCUUACAGCGCCAACAACGGGAAGUUGUUUUCUGCUCAGUCCCAAAUCGCCGCCGAGGACACCAACAAGAAGAAAAGAUCGCCGUCGUCGAGGGGCAGCGAAGAGGGGAUCCUGUCGUUUACCUCAGGAGUGAUUCUACCGUCGAGUAGUGGUGUCGUGAAAUCUAGCGCCGGCCCGGCGGAUUCCGACCACUCCGACCUUGAAGCGUCCGUGGCUAAGGAGGCCGACAGUAGUAGAGUUGUGGACCCCGAAAAACGACCCCGGAAAAGAGGUCGUAAACCGGCGAACGGCAGAGAGGAGCCGCUGAACCACGUGGAGGCAGAGAGGCAGAGAAGAGAGAAGCUCAACCAGAGAUUCUAUGCUCUCCGAGCUGUUGUUCCAAAUGUGUCGAAAAUGGACAAGGCGUCUCUGCUCGGGGAUGCCAUCUCUUACAUCACCGAGCUCAAGACGAAGCUGCAAACGACGGAGUCAGACAAGGAGGACAUGCAGAAGCAAGUAGAGACGUUAAGUAAAGAGCUACAAGAGUCCCGGUCGUGUUCAGGUUUGGACCAAGAGCUUAAAGGGUCUACUAAAUUGAUCGAUUUGGAUAUCGAUGUCAAGAUACUCGGAUGGGACGCCAGGAUUCAAAUCCAAUGUAGCAAGAAGAACCACCCUGCGGCGAGGCUAAUGGCGGCGCUGAUGGAGCUGGACUUGGAUGUACACCACGCCAGCGUUUCGGUAGUCAAUGAUUUGAUGAUCCAGCAAGCCACGGUGAGGAUGGGCAGCCGGAUUUACACGCAGGAGCAGCUCAGAUUAGCUCUAUCAGCCAAAGUGGGGGAUGCCAGAUAAAACACAUGGCCACAGUUGGCUGAAUUACGGUGAGCUUGUAUUGCUACCAUCAGCGGCGGCAGGGUGCUUUUGGACAUUUUAUUUGAGGCUCCCGGCAAAGCAGCGAAGCCGAGCUCUGUAUUAUACUAUGCCUUCUUCUUUAGUAGAGUUUUGUUAUGUUGUUGUAGCAGUAUAGAAUCUGAGUUUGAGAUUGUUCUCCCACGAGCUUAAACUAGAUGAACAAUUUUUCCAUGUAGCGAAUGUAGCCGUAUUUGAAACCCCCGUGUUCCCAUAUCUUGUCUUGUAUCCACCAUCUUCAAUUUGUAAAUAUGUUUCAUAAAACUUGAACUCUCACGAAGUUCAUGAAUGUUCUGGCUUAGUGAUGUUGUACUAUCAGAGUUUGUAUCAGAAUAUGACAUUGUAAUCUUUUUGCUCCUCAAAUUCUUCCGAGGAAGUUAGAAGUUGUUUCGAUUUUGCCCGAGUUCAAGUUGUGUGUGUGUUUCUGAGCUCAUAGAUGGAGACCCUUUCAAAGUGCAUGCAUUUGUAUCAGAAUCUGACUAUAGGGCUUUUUCAAUGUUGAAUUCUAGCUUGGAUAUAUUUUGGUGGGAACAUUAUUAUUUUGCGGGCAUUUUUCUCGUGGGGAAUAAAUGCCCCAAAUUCUAGAAGGGUCAUGAUAUCAUCUGGAUUCUCAGCAGCAUGGAUGAGGGUAUUCUACCAACAUUUGUGGAUGAAAUAAGGGUGGUCGGCACCUGGAUUUUUUUCACGGCUGUUUUUAGCCACAACUUUUAUGCAAAUAAGCAGCUGCAUGAAUAAAUGAAGGUGAUAAUUACUGUGACAGUUGGAUCCUCUUUUAGCUGUGGAAUGUUUUUGGCAAAGUAGUAAACUCACUCUCCUUUUACCAGCUGAAAAGUUCAACCUCUGAUUCAAUGAUUGGGGUAAAAAUGGGUGGCUAACUUUCACAAUCCGGCAUUCUCAGAAUUUACUCUUUCAUGUAUCAAUCAUGAUUUCUGUGUCUAGAUUUCGACCUCAAAUUUUAAAGGGUGUAAGAAGAAGGCCUUGCCAAAUUCAAUUUGUCCCGUUGUGACUAGGAAAUCGUUGAUGUUGACUCAUAGUCAGUUAAUCACAACAACUAUUGUCUCAACUCAACUAUUUUUCUAAGAUCAAAUUUUAUUACCAGUAAGUGAAAUAUUACGAAAUUGAUUUUCAUCGUUAAAAGAAAAAGAACAAGAUAGGAAGAUCUUUGAACAAGUUGUGAAUCAAAUUCAAUCUAGAAAGUGACCUCUUGAUCUUGUCUUUGCAACUUGCCUAUAUCUAAUAAAAUGAAAUCCAAAGAAAUUUUACUAAAACAUGAUGCUUAUUAAGCUCGUCCCCACUACUUGGUUCAUUUCGAAUUAAUUUAACACGUGGUGUGGUGUGGUGUGGAGGUCCAAAUCAAAGCACAGUGUUGGUGAUCGAUAAUAUCAUCUCAGCCACUUAGCUUGAAAGGCUUCUUGGAGAUUAAGAAAUGAAGCGAACACAGGUCCCAGCACAGAAUUUGGGGAGCUUUAUGCCAUUUAUCAAUUUCAGUUAUUACAACCUCAUUAUAUUUGAACAACUUUUGUAACAAUUUUGUUUUGUCUACCUAAAAUGUGGAAGGUAAUUAUGAUUCUUCGAUCUGUUAGAGAUAUUUUUUCAGUUACCAUAAUGAGACUUAUGAGUAAGAGGCAGGUAAAUUUUCUUUUCACCAACUUUAUUCUUUGUAUAAUUGGAGAAUGUAUAUGCAUGCAUCUGCAAGAUAGAGUGUUCAACAAAAUUAGAUCACGGAUCAUUUAAGCUAAUAAUUAUCAUGUAUUGUUAUGUCGUAUCAAAUUAUUAACAUAAAAGACUAACGGUUAGACUUGAGCAUUUUCUCUUAAUUUUAUAUAUUAGGGAUGUUAUGUUGAUCAAAACGACUGGGACGACUUUUAGUCAAAUACGCUAAUUAAACCGGAAUUAGUUCUUCUUUUAUACACUAGACUGGAAUUAGUUUUUCUAAUUGAUUUGGUUUUGUUUCGGACUGUAAGAUAUGUUUGAUUGCCCUCCAUAUAAAAAAAAACAAAAAAAACAUUUAGUUUAGAGAGGCAUAUAACACAUCAAUCGGAUAUUAUCAGGUGCAAUGUUUUGUCUUGGUGAUUGAUAGUUUGAUACUAUUGUCUUUAAGUGGGGGCAUUCUUCCUUGAUAGUUUUUCUGCGAUUAUAUAUGACUCCUCAAGAAUUUGUUUAUUCGAAAGCUACAUUGUCACGUUUUGGCAUACUUUAUGUCACUCCCAAGAUGGCUGCAGACUUAGGGGUUCCUCAUCUGAGUCAUCUCUAGCUUUGCUGAACUUACCAAUCUCAACUAGGAUAUUUUGCGGCAUACUUGAGGCACCUGAGAUGGAUUUGAUAAAUUUACAGUUGACGUAUGACUGACUUUGUAGCUAGCCAUAGCUUUGUUGAGUGAAUUAAUAGAGAGAGAAAUACGUUUUCAUAUCAAGAUGAGUACGUAGUAGUCUCUGCGAAAAGAAAAAUCAUAAUAUCUCUUUAAUUCUUUAUCUGUUGCUUUGAUCAUAGGAGACGAUCGAGAGUUUUGAACUUGGGACAUUAUCUGUGCUCAUGGAGAGAAACACCACUCGAUGAGUUAUUCAGAUUUCUGAUCUUGUACAAUCGCCAGUCGUAUACAUUAUCAGGAAUAUGAGCAGUAGAAAUUGAAUGAGAAGAAUAUAAAUUAAGGUUGGUAAAGGUACCAGUCAAGUCCUAUAUAUUAAGUUUUGAUUAAACGAAGCUAAAGGCCACUGAUAUUGUAUUAACGAAGAAAGCCAACAAAAUUUGCAAGGGAAUGGUAGCAACCAGUGGAGUAGGAUAGGUAUAUAUGAGUGCAUUUGCAUUGUAUUAUCGAACUUUACAAGGUAGCUAGGCAAUCUCCUUCAUCUGUAUUUUUAAUUGAUUGGGAUCAUCUGGAAGGUGUUGUUGUGAGAGUUUAUUCCCUUUAUCUUUAGGUUAGGGAUCGAAGAACUUUCCAAUUAACAUGAGCUUAAUUUAUUUUAUUUAAAAUGAAACUAUAUUUGCAGCAGUUGAUGAUAUAUAGAAUAUGACUAGAGUAAGGUGGGAUGUACAGAUCUCAAACUAGCUAGCUAGAGUAAUUAGUUAAUUACUACACUGAUGAGAAUCUAGUUUUAACUAACAUAAGCUUGUUAACAGUUAUUAUCAUAUAACCCUAUCACAGUAAGACGGUUCUCCAAAUAUGGUAGAGCUUCAUAUCUCCCAUGCCAACAAGAAACAAAUUCUCACUUUCCAGAAGCACAUUUCAGGCCGGUGAAUCACCGGCGAUAUGACUACGUUAUCAAAAUAUGUAAUGUGAGACCAGAUUCCAUUAGGGCAUAUCACAUCCCGACUCUUAAUUUUUACCAUGUUUACUAGUAUAGUGUUAAUAAGAGUUUUUACCGUCUUCGUUAAUGAUUUUAUAGUUUCAUGGACCCUAGAUAUAUUUUGAGGGAUGAGUAUUUCGGAGAAAUUAUUAGUAAGAAAAAUAUUUGAAGACGGUAAAAAAGGGUAAAUUUGAGUAAAUAAAAAUGUAAUUUUUAUUAGGGUAUUGUUUUUGGGGUAUUAUUUUGGAGUUGGGUUUUUAUUGGUAUGGGUUAGGAACCGGUUGGCAAAAGCCCAACUCUUUUCUUCUCUCUUCCCUCCCGACGUUCUCUCUCUCUCUCUCUCUGUCGGAAGUUCUCCACGCUCGUCCGCUGCCGUCCGGUCAACUUUGACCGCCGCACCGGUCUUAAACGGUCGGUCAUCGUCCCCUCUCUCUUUCUGGACCGGUAGGAGCCUCCCUAGUGCCGCCGUAAGGGAGAUAUCACGCUCGAGAGGUCCGACUGUCCGUGGUGUUCCGUCGCCGGAACUCCCUCCUCCGACCGCGAUAGCCGGAGCUGCUUGGCUAAAUAGGAAGCUCUCUUCCCGUGCAGCAAUCCCUAAAAAGGAUUCACUCCCUCUUGGUCUAGGUAAGGAGAAUCGGGUGUUAGAAAUUCUAGGGUUCCAUUUUUAUUUUGGUUCGAUUGAUCUAGUUAAGCUUGAAAUUGGACUUUGUGCUAGUUAAGGAAGUUGUAGAGCGUGUUGAGAGGAAGUUUGUGUUAAAUUUUGGUAAGCAUCGGAGGUCGCCGGAGUAGGUUUCCAGCGGAGCAGACGGCGGUGCCGCCGCUGUUAAGUAGUUUUUCAGGGUUUUAAAUUUGUUAUGUUGAUGGGAGUAUAUUGAUGUGAAGUUUGUAAUUUUUGGAGGAGUUUUGGAUAUGAAUGAGAUUUUUCCAAGAUUGGUGAAUUUGGCGGUUAAUAGGGUAGAAUCUGACUGUUGGAUUUCCCUUAUUAUUGUUUUAGAAUGUUGAAAUAGAUGAAAUGAAGAUGUGGGUGGAGUUUGGCAUGAAUUUGAUAAGCUUAACCCUAAUAAGGGUAGUGGGUUAGGCGGAACAGUUUUGGUGUUUAUAUUUAAGUAUUCUUUAUGCUGAAAGUGAAGUUUGGUCCUAAACAUGGUUAUUGUGCCAGGGUUCGAGGAGACCUUUCGUGAGUGACGAUUUAGAUUUCGUCGGGCUUAUGCCUAAAGUUGUGAGUGGACUUUUGAUUUAAAUAAUAUGCAUGCAAAUGGUUUAUUGUUGAACAAUUUUUUUUGGUUGGAGCAUAUGACGUCAUUUUAAUUUGAAAAGUUUAUUUAUUGUUGGGAAUAACCAAAAGUGAGAGUUUUGGUGAAUAUAUAAUCAUAUAUGGAUAAUUAUGAGGAUAGUAUGUAUAUAAAUGCUAGCUAGCCAUACGUGUUUUUCCUCCAUAAUGAGGUAAAAUUCUAUUAUGGCGCGACGUGAGCGUUAGACGCAAGCGUCGUAGCCCUAUAUAAAUAUAAGAAUUUAUAUAGGGAAUAUGCACGUAUAUAUAUACACCGUCUUUUUUGCAUAAUAAGGUAAAAUUUCAUUAUGGCGCGACGUGAGUGUUAGACGCAAGCGUCGUAGCCUUGUAUGAAUUUAUAUUUUUCUUAUAUUUCUUCAUAGAAUUUAUACAAGGAAUAUGAUGAGUGUAAAUACAUACAUAUAUAUAUUUAUAUUUUAGCUCGAGAGGCUCUAUUUUAUAAAGUUUUGGAGACUAGCCUGGGUUAGUCAUGUAUUUGUCAGUUUAUGAGUUGAGAGCUUUUGAGCUGUCGCAUGCAACAUAAUUUCUUUGGAAAUUAAAUUGGGAAAACAUAAAGAUUUUUAUUGCUCGUUUCCUUUAAAUUUACUUUUAUCCACUCACUUUAACGCGUUUUCAAAUGGUUUCCCCUUGGCAUUUCGAUUUUAAAUGCCCAGUUUGCAAGUUAGCAUAGUUGAGGUCGAGCGUAUAUGGAGACGAGGCAUAGUUAAUAGUAUAGCUUCCGCUCAUAUAUAUAUAUAUAUAUAUAUAUUUCUAAUUCCUUUCUUCUUUAAUAGAGUUGCUCUGAACCUGUGAUUGUUAGUUGUGAGAUUUUCUUAUUAAAGUUAGUAAAUCAAGUUGGGAGAUGUUGUGAUUUGGGGAGCAUGAAGGCUCCAGGAGUAGAGAGUUAUAGAUUGAUUCUUUUGAAGUGUAUGCAUGUAUUAUUAGGAAGGGUUGUCUAUUUUCAAGGGAGGUUAUACCAAAUUUUCAGUAAAUUUUCCUUGGAGGUGGUCCCCGCAGGAUUUAUUUCGGGUUUUAGGGUAAAAUUCGGGGUGGGUCCUGACAGGACAUAUAAGGCAUUGCUUUAUAGGCUCCCCGCCGACUGAUAUGAUGCCAAUCUGAUGUUGUAGUACUGUUCCUCCAUCCGGCCACACUCGUUAGACGAGAAUAUCCGUAAAUUCUAAUUGUAAGGGAUCGAAGCGUAGCAAUGAGGAGGAAAGGAUCACCUGAGCUUUAACCAAGUGACACCUUAAACUAAUGAAUAUGAGUCAUAUGGACAUAAUACCUUCAAAUUUACAUUACAGAUUGUUUAGUCUACUAAGAUAUAUCAUCUAGUUGGGGAGCCCUUCUAGUGAGAACUCUUAAGUUAAGGACUUGGUGAAGACUUUUCGGUUUAUGGUUUAAACGACUCAAUUUUCGAUCACAUUUUAACAUCUCAUCCGUUCAAUUUUUAGGUUUAUAUGAGUAGAUCAUUUAUACAAAUUUUCAGCCAAAUUGGUGUUUGUUAAGAUAACAAACUAGAUCAAAUUAAUGGACGAACCAAAUCUGUCAAAUAUGAACCGUUCAAGUUCAUAAUUGAUAAAUCACACUUAUGAAUGUCUUAACAAUUUUCAAUAUAGCUGAAAAUUUGUAGAAAUGAUCUACUCAUAAAUACCUAUAAACUGAACGGUUAAGAUGUGGAUAUAAGAUCAAAAGGUGGGAUAAGCCGAAAAGUCCUCACCAAGUCCUCAACUUAAGGAUCCUCACUAGAAAGGCUCCCUAUGUAAUUGAUCUCAUGAAUUAUGAACAUCAUCAAUUCAGACUCUAAAUUGUUGCAAGAGGCUCUUUUUCUUGGCCGGCUAGAAUAUCACGGGAUGUUUAUGCUCAAGUGCCUUUGUGAAGGUUGCACAUGAACAACUCAAAGACUCCUCACUAGACUUCUGCUAUUAGUCUGGAAACCACUGUCGAAAUUUCUUAGCAAAUACUUUUUUGAAAUCCUCUUGUUAUCCUUUAUAUUUCUUCAUAAUGUAUACAUGAUACGCAAAAAAACAAAUCUUCAUUGCGUAAAACUUUAAAAAUAGGACUAUCGUAUAUGAUGAGAAAAGAAUACAAAUUAAUCUUCUAAGAGCAUCUCCAACAGCUUUCCCAAAAUUUCUCUAAAAUGGGGAAGCAAAAGCUAAAAUCUUCAAAAAAAUUAUGAUCAAAAUCCAGCGGCUUCUCUAUUUUGGAGAUUUCAGCAUUUAAUACAACAAUAAAAUAUAAUAUAUUAUCAUUAAUUAUAACAAAAAAACAUUAUAUAUUUCAUUGUAACGAUAAACUACCCAAUAAAAUAUUUUAUUGUUGUCUUAAAUUCGUUGGAGCACGUGAAAAAUUUAAUUUUGGGGAAGGAAGGCUUUGCUGCAAAUUUGGGGAAUGAAGAUUUUUUUUUUCUUCUUCAUCCCUAUUUUGGGGAAUGAGAUGGGAAAACUGUUUGACAUAAAAAUAGCUCUAUAUUUCCAAAAAUUAAGAAUUUCAAAAAAAUAGGGAAGCUGUUGGAGAUGCUCUAAGUCUCAUUGUUUGCCCCUUAAAUGUGGUACUGAUAUAACAUACGUAGCAAGCUAGAAAUGAUUCUUACAUUUGAGUGGUAGGAUGAUUCACAUGUGACAUGUUCUAUAUAGAUAGGAUUUGCAUAAAACGGUAGUAAGCCAAACAUUGUUUUCGUUACGUAAAAAUGUACUAGACCAAGUUUGAUUGAAAGGUACAUAGCACAGCAAUGUGACAGCAUAUAUACCUAACCCCUGUACCAGUAAUUAACCUAUUGCAGCAAUCUAAUUGGAUAGGGAUAUCACUGGUGACCAUCCCAAAUUAGAUCUGGUUAAGCUGUAUUUCCGGGUUGGCAUUGCCCUAAUCCUAAUCCAAAAUUAACAAAAACAACAUUUGGUUGUUAUUUGAUGGUUAUUAUUCCAACCCAUAUCAGUUUGCCUCCAAAAACCAACCCCCUUCCAGCAUUGUACAUAUUUCAUUCUCCUCUAUCUCUUCUCCCUUCAUUCCAUUACGGAGAUGUAAUGGUGUCCUUUGCAUGAUCAUCCUCUCCAGUUGAACCCUACAUACCCGUUCCCCAUAUGCAGGCCUUGCCUGAAGUCGGAGGCUUUUCCAACUUCUGAUUGUUGAAGAGCUUUCUAUCUAGGGCACACGAGAUAUAUCAUAACACACAUUGCAACCAUGAGCCUAAGUUGCUUGACAUGCCAGGUUCUGCAGAGGACGAACUCUUCGGAAUCUGAAAGGAGCUACAAACAUAGAAAGGCUCAGAAGGCUUGUAAUAGGAAGCUAUGCUGUGUAAACAUGGACAGAAGCUGGUCCGGGAACCUAACUCCGCCGCCUUAUUAUGAGAAGAUAGAUAGGUCAGCUCCUUUGUUGGGGGAGCUUGACAAGAAGAAGAAGAAUGAGAAAAAGGCAGGGCAUCGCCGGCUUUGUAGCACAGGUGGAGUUGCAUAUGAAGGGAGCACUGAACCAAAGUUGGUGAGGAGCGCUGGAAUGAGAAGGGAUUGGAGCUUUGAGAAUUUGGAACGGCUCAGAAAAGAAAACAAAGGGGGGAACUUCUAUUAAUGCACCAAAGUUUCUCUAAUUCAUGUUCCUUGUUUUUACUUCUCAUUUUAUUACUUCAUUUCUAAUUACUUUUUCAUGUAUGGCGUUGGAUUGAAUAUUGUUUGGUGGAUUUAAACAUACUAUAGUUGUAAUUGUGCCUAAAACUAAAAGUUCCUUAUACAAAUAGACACGUUGCUUGCUUUCAUAUCUUUCAAAUAAAACCUUUCAUAUCUUCUGCUUUUUGAUUCAUUGAUUCAUUAAUAAGCUCAUCACGCUAGGAAAAUGAGAAAUCCAAUAGCCAUAUUGUGUUUGUCAUCCUCAUCGCAACAAAUGAAUUCAUAUGGAAGAAGACGAUCGAAGUUUGGAAAGGUUUUAUCACCAUUCUCGAUUUCCAGUAUUGGAAGGGAACGAGGAUGACAUUUCAAGCUAGAAAUUUUCGCAAACAAAAUCUAACCUCGAGUAUAAUCCAAGGAUCAACCGUUUCAUCCAAGAUGAAUAUCCUAAAUUUCCAUUUUCAUUGCCUUAAACAGUUUGAACGAACUUUGUACCAAACCUGUUAAGACUUUUUGUCUGAAACUUCAGAAACUAUUGGGUUGGACAUGAAGGGCUACCCUCCAGACUCAAAAGGGAUAUCCUUGGAGGGUUAAUUUUUCCAGGAUUCCAGGCAGAAAUGCAUAUUCGACAUGAUGAAUCUGUUCUAACUUGUUCAACCUUUGAAUCCCUGAUCUUUAAAGUUCCAACUCAAGCUUGCUAGACAUCUACAUUUUGCGAGUGCUUUUGUGGAGACAACAAAUCAAUACUACGUGAUAUGUGCAGACACAUUCUCUACAAUAUCAUUUUCCAAACAGAUCAAUGCUUGUACUAUAGAAUCUGAUGCAUAUAUUGAAUUAAAAACACCACUGAUUGAUUUAUAGAAAAAAAAAAAUCCUCAUGAACUCGAUACUACAAAGAGAUUUAAAUCCAUUCAGGCUUCAUACUCAGUUUUUUAUCACACCCAUAUUCCUAACAUGAGGUAAAAGUAAUCAAAUUUCGUUGAAAUUAUUAAAAGGAGGUGUUUAACCAUUAAAAGCCUUUACGCCCACUUUUAGACGAUGCUGAUGGUGGCACAUGCUGAAGAUAUCUCUCAUAUGGAAAGAACACAGAGAUUCUUAUUUGCAAAUGCAUAUAUUUGAAAACAUGUAAAACAAAGUUCAUAAACAAUCUAAGAUGCAUUGCAUUCUAACAAAGUUCACCCUAAAUAAUCAAAUCCCAAGAGUCUUUAGAGAAGAUACACCUGACUACAAUCCUUGUAUUAACAAUACUUCAACAACAAUACUCAUACAUUUUGAUACUUUAGAAUACUGACCUGAUUCUCUGACUAAAACAAUACAUACGUCCAAGAGUGAUUUUCUGGCACUGUUGGGCUUCCAUUUCUGCAAUUCAACAUUCACCAACUAAGGAAUUAGCUGCAUAGUUUCCCCAUUCCUAAGAUGUCAGUAAGAGCAGAAGCAGAAAAUUUUACACAGACAAUGACAACUGUUACCAUCCUUGAUGGAAUGGCUAGGAGUUAUCUCUACCUGAAUCCAUAAACUACCAUUCCAUCAAAAUAGGAGAAUAGGCCGUUGACUGUCAGCUGCUUCAGUUUUUCUUCUUUCUUGCAUCAGCUUUCCAAUCUCUUCUCCCCAGUUUAGGUCUAUUCAUUUCACUGUUAUUUCGGUCAACAGAUACUUCUGAAUACGUUUCACUCUCAAAUUUUCCUUCUGCUGUAGUUCCAGCGAGAAACACAGUUUGACUCUCACCGGUUGACAUCAAAGUAGGGGCAACAUAAGCAUUGGCUGUAACUUCAGGAUCCCUAGAAACAUGACCUCUCCUUGCAUCCUUUUUCCAAUUCCGUUUGCAGUACACACGGGGUGUGUAAUUGCUAACAGUUCCAUUAAGUUGUACUUGUACAUUUGGUGAAGUUGAGGGCUUUAUAGUGCUGGGAUUUUUCAAUUCUGCUUCAAGACGCUUCCGAGCCCUAUAUCGACGUUGCCUUUCUCGGUUCUUCAGGCGACGAGUGUGAAUGUCACUACGACCCCCAGUGCGCUCUCUUUGAUCAAUAGGCUUCAUUGUAAUACUGUGUUUGAGUACUGCUUAUACCAGUGCCUGUUUCAUAUUCUGAAGCAUAGGCAUAAAUUAAACAAAGGAGUGCAAAAGAUUACUCUUCAUAAACAAUGUUUUUCCAUCUAGUAGUAACUUACCAUUAAAGUUUGGCUCACAAUAGUGGGUAACAACUCUAUUAAACUAAGAUCUAUUUGAAUGAAAGAAAAGAACAGCACUUCCUCAGGGGUUUGUUUAUUGGUCAGACACUUACUCAGGGGUUGACUCAGAAAUAUAUGAACUAUAGAAAAGUAACAGGUACAUGCACUACAUCCUUCAGAAGCCUCGAACAAAAACAACAUGCAGGUACUAAUUUGGUCAAGAGUACUAGCUAAGUACAUCUCCUAGCUAGUAAGCACAUAUGCAAGAUGUAUAGGUGCUGAUUCAUGUGAUUGGGAAGUAUGUGUUUAAUUUACUUCACGAAUUAAUAAAUAGAUUCUUAAAAAGGAGCAUAUCGGCGAUUUUCUUAAAGUGGAAAAGAUCCUCAAGUGCUCUUCUAAUUUUGGCCACUCAUCUGCAGUACAAAUUGUCAUAUAUUGAAAUGCUCAUCAUGAUAUGAAGUGAAAACUCAACAUUCUACAAUUUCAAUAUAUGGAGACUCUCCUACUUUUUAAUCCCCUUCCCUACUGGAAUGGACCUUUGAACUCUUAUGAGAAAACCCAAAAUGCAUAACCCAGACCAUAUGAAAGGAUUAUAAUUCAAAAGAAGACAAAUAAAUAAAAAAGGAAAAAAAAAACCAGGCAGAAAAAAAGAAAAGAAAAAAAAAUUGAAGAAGGAGAGGGUUAUGAAGCGUGGGGUUUUACCAUCAAAUUGAGAUUCAAUUAUGUUCACAUCCAAUGCUGGCAGCUUAGUUCCAUAGUUAGAUUCUUAUGCCCUCAACCCCGUUCAUCUUUUAGUGCAAAAAAGACAAUCAGAUAUGAACAUCCAAUAGCUAUAAGAGCAUCGAUCUUUAUAUCAUCUCCUUUCAGGCUAAAAGCAGUCUUUCAUGUAUGCAGCGUGUUGCUUUCCAACCCGGAACUCCUGGAGGGAUGAACAUUUUAUUGAGCCAUUUCAUUCAUGAAUUUUAAGAAGUAAAACACAAAAACAUACUAAAGGGAUAGUAAUUUUUUUUUGAGAGAAAAAGGGAUAACGAUUAAUAUUGAACAUAUUAUAAUCGGUUACAACCUGACACAGUAAAUCAAACUUGAAAUACACCACGACAAUAAAUAAAAGGAAAUCAAUGAUAUCAUAAAACCCGCAUAACAACCAAUUUGGCAAAGGGUGGCCGGAUCAUAGAUUACCAAGAAGCAACAGGAAUGCAGAUCAAUGCUUCCAAAGGAUAUUAAAUACACUACUACAUUAUGUUAUUCAAUAAAAACUAUGCAUCGUGGUUUACAAUGUCGAAUUAAAGCAAGCUAGGGGACAGUAAAUACCACAAUCCAGGUCUCGUAGGAUUACCAUUUCGCAAUUGCCUUUUAGAACAUUCAAGAGCCAAGGUCUAAAGCAAGUGGUGCUUGCUUAACAAAGCAAUUAGAAACCUAACAACAAAACCCUUCUCAGCCAUUUGCUUAAUUUACAGUUCACUGAAGCUAAAACCAGAACCCCAAAACCAAAACAUAAAAAAACACUAAAUUUCUGCAUUCACAUAUCAAAAUUCCCAAAUUGAUCAACCUUAAAGCAUCAGUACACAAGAAAUAAUCAAAUGCAAGACUGCAAGAGUAUGAUAUACAGAAAGCAAGAAAACAAGGGUUUGGGUAAUUUCUAAAUUACAAGCACAGAUGUGAGUCAUGAAAGGACUAACCUUUAAGGGGAAUGGAAGCAGAUCUGGGUUUGAUGGUAGAAGCAGAGUGGUGGGUUUGGGGUUAAAUUGUGGAAGGAGGGUUAAUUGAGGCAGUGAGAGACGAAACGAAAGGGUUCAACUUUUGAAGGCAGAGAAGGGAACUCCCACGACCAUUUGCAUAGGUCUCCCGAGGUGCUCUCCCACGUGUUCAACUGCCGUAAUCAAUGGAGUUGGGAUGUAUGUCACUACCCUUUAAUUUUUUGUUUUCUUUUUCAUUUUCUUUUAUGCUUGAAAUAUAUCAGAAAUAUAUAUAUAUAUAUAUAUCAGAAAGUUUUCAAAUUUAUUUCCAAUACACUCAUGACAAGUUUACUUGUCAGGAAUGGAUUUCAUAAGGAAUAGGAGAAGGAAGGAAUGAGAGAAAAAAUGGAAUUAGAAUAUGAAUGAAAUUAAUUAUGAUUGAUGUUAUUUAUUUAUCAUAUUGAAUCGGAAUUAAAACUACUUCGAUUACUAAAUUACCCUUUCAAAAAAAGUCUGCCAAGUAGAUUUUGAACCCCUCCACAUCACUCUCAACAGACAAAUAGAUAUCAACAACGAUCAAGUCAAGUUGAUGCAGUAAAAAAAAUAAUAACAAAAGAGAAGAUCAUCGGAAAAGAGAGGAUAAAGAAGAGUGACUAACCAGCAGCACAGUCGCACGAGUCUAGUCGAUUCGUUUUUUGUCGUUGUUCGGCUGUUUCUGAUAAUAACAAAAUAUGGCACGUUUCUAAUGAGAAAUAUAUUCUAAGGUUGGACAAUUUGGAGUUAUUGAAAUUAUGUGAGGAUAAUUUGGGAACAAAAAGUUCAUUCCUGAUGGUGUCAUUCCUAAACCCACCUCCUCCCUUGGUAUUAUAAAUCCGGGUUAACAAGGAAUCAAUUCUAGGUUAGGAGGUAGGACCCAUAACAAUUCUCAUUCCACUGUGAGCAAGUAAACAUAUGAAUUUCUUCAUCCCGUAAUCAUUCCCCCACAUUUGUAUUUCAUUCCUGACAAGUAAACGUGCCAUUAGUGAACAGAUAGGCAAUGGGCCGGUGUGCAUCUAUUAUUUGGAAAAGUUUGGUAUGGGCCAAUGAGCUUUUGGAGCUAGGAAUGAGGUGGAGAGUAGGGAAUGGGCAGAUGAUCAAUGUUAAAGCUGACAGAUGGAUUUCAAAACCGGUUUCCUUCAAAAAUCUCAUCUCCAUACUCUAAACUUUGGCAUGCGAGGGUCUUUGAUUUUAUAACUCCAAGAGUAGGUUGGAAUAUUGAGAAGGUAAUGACCAGUUUAUUAAGCUUCGAAGCUGAUAUGAUCUUGUCGAUUUCAUUACCGAAGCAAGGUGGUAAUGAUAGGCUAAUUUGGCAAUUGGCACUACAAUAAGAAUGGUCGAUACUCUGUGAAAUCAGGCUACUAGGUGGCAGUACAAGAUCAAUUAAUAAGAGAUUGAGGUAUGGAAGCUGGGAGUAGGUCCAGAAAUGCAAAUAUCGUUCAACAAGGAUGGAAGAAAUUAUAGAGUCUCAAACUUCCAAAUAAAGUUAAAGUGUUCAUGUGGCGAGCUUGUAACAACUUUCUCCCUUGUGGUGCCGAGUUAAAGAGAAAAGUCUGUCAACAGGAUCGGUGCUUCCAGUGUGGUAAUGGUUGCGAGACUAUCCUAGAUGUCUUGUGGGAAUGCAAAUGGGCUAGAAAUAUUUGGCAACAAACUUUUCUUAGAGAGGUAUGCACAGUUUGGAAAGAAAAAGACGUGUUUGGGUUGUUUUUACACGUCUAUGUUAUUGCAAUUAUUAAGGAGAUGAAACGGUUCUGUGUGAUCUUAUGGUACUUUUGGCAUGAAUGAAAUAAGAGAUGUUAUGGUAAUGGAGGCAGUCCCAAGGAAUCUGGUCAGCAUAAUUGUGUCAUGGUGGGAGAUGUUUGAAGGAGAAAACAAAAAAAGUAUUGGAGUUCAAAGGAGGGACUCUGGGCUUAGGGAGAGAGGGUCGGCUAGCUGGUCUAAACCGAGUGUUGGUGUUGUCAAACUGAAUAUAGAUGGAGCUCUGGAUGUUAAGAGAGGAAUUUAUGGAAUUGGGGCAGUGCACCAUGAUGAGAAUGGGAUUUGUUUGGGAGUUUUAGUAGUGUCAGGUACUGGUUUACUGAGUCUUCACGUUGUUGAGGCUUUAGCACUUGUUCACGGGCUGCAUUUCUGUGCCCAGAUUGGCUUCACUCACCUGGAAGUAGAAGGCGACACCUUGAAUGUUUUUGCAGGGUUGGAUGAAGCAAUUGAUGAUUUCAGCGAAGUAGGUGCUAUUAUGGAUGAAGCAAGGAGCUAAUUAGCUCUUUCGAGGUCUGUAGUUGGGGUUUUGUCCCAAGAGUUUGAUGAAGCUAUUGAUGAUUUCAGUGAAGUAGGUGUUAUUAUGGAUGAAGCAAGGAGCUAAUUAGCUCUUUCGAGGUCUGUAGUUGGGGUUUUGUCCCAAGAGUUUGGAACAAAGUUGCACAUGAGGCUGCAAAGCUUGUUUUGUUUUUUGGUCAAGGUGCAAAGCUUGCUUUAUCUCUUCCAUAUCCUUAUUACUGUUGACAAAUGAUGUUGGAAUGCUUAAUUAUUUUAGUAAAUGCUGAAGCUAGUUAUCCUUAGGAGUGUGGUACGGUACUCUUCCUAGUGUGGUACGGUACUCUUCCUAGUGUUUAACGAGGCCACUAUUACUCCUCCUUGAUCUAUUGGGUUCUUCUAUAUAUUGAAUAAACUACUUCAGAUAAAAAAAAAUUUAUUACACUCAUACACUUGGAUUUUGCUUUCCCUCUCCAAAUUCCCUACUGUAGAUAUUUGGAUUGACAUAUCAUGGAUAAUGUGCCCCACUCUGUGUUUGAAGAUUGUGUUUUAUUGUGUUGCAGAUUCGAAAAAUUCGAAAGUCUCUAUUAUUGUCACCUCUGGUGCUGCUAGGUUUCUUAUUUGACUCUUUUUUGGGGUUCCCUCAAUUGCUGGUACACGUCGACUCCAUACUUCUAGUGUACUGAUUGCUGAAUGUUGUGCCCUUACAAAAGCGCUCGUUGCUGCUAAAAUAUUCAACUUCAAGUCUAUUGUGGUUGAAGGAUAUUCCCUCUCGAUGAUCAACUGCGUUAAUAAUGAUUAUGAAGUCCCUUAGCGUCUCAAAUCUCAUAUUUGAGAUGCCUUUCAUGUUGCUAGUGAGUUUGAUAGUAUCAGCUUUGUUCAUGCUUUCCGGGAAGCCGACUCUUGUCUGGUGCUCUUGCAAAUCUCGGGCACCGUUUUCAUUCUCCGAGAAUCUGGAUAGAUAUACUUUCUCCCCAAGAUGCGCAGGUUUUACAGUUAGAUACGAAUAACAUCAGCCGCCCUAGAGGCACCUCGUUGUAAUCUUCUUUUUCUUCCAAAAAAAAUCAGUUAAUUGUUUUUUUGGUAGGAUUAACUAAGUUUAAUUUUAGAGAAAAGACCAAAAGGGAAAAAGGACUAAAUUAAGUUUUGUAAAUGAACCAGACAUGCAAAAAAGUGUCGAUGUAAAAAUAUUUUAAUAUGGAGAUUCUACAAUGUAUAAAUUAGAGAUUCUAAAACUUAUAAAUUAUAAGUUAGAAGGUGUUGCACGAGAUACUAAAACAAGUGUGAUAGACCUUGGUUUUUUUUUGAUGACAUGGAGCCCGAAGGCAAGGACAAAAAAACCUAAAAACAACAACUAAUACUAGGGUUAGGAAAAGACCGGAAUAAAUCAGCUUCCAAGAGAGGGAUAACAUCAUUAGGAGGGGAGCUAAAGAAUCUGCAUCUAGGCUCAUAACCAUGACCAAUGCUUGCUAGCAAGUCAGCCACUGAAUUACUUUCUCUGUAAACAUGGAUGAGAGACACAUUCCAAUUCCUACUAAGAAACUCCUGGCAGUUUGCUAUAAGACUGUAGAGAGGAUGAAGGUGAUCAAUAACAGAAAGGACCAAUUUGACUGCAACAAGAGAAUCUACUUCAACUUCCAAAGAGUUGCAACCAUGCUGCCAUGCCAUCUCCAUUCCUUUCAACAGUCCCCAAAGUUCAGCUUCAAGAACUUGUCCAAUGCCUAACUUGGCAGAGAAACCAUUCAACCAUUCACCUUGGUUUUUAGCAAAAGAAGACUGCUCUUUGGGCAUUUCAUUUUCAUGUUAUGGGAUGUCCUCAUUGAAGUAUUGCACUACUAGAUGAAGCACACACCUGAUAAACUCACACAUUGAUGUAACUUUUUAAUUAAUCCUCUGAGCCAUCGAUCUUUUCCAAUCCUCUUUGGCGUUACUUUGAUUUUCUUAUGAGCAUUGAACUUGCAUAUGGUAUAUAUUCUUACGUGGUUUGUGUCUAGAAAUAACAUAUGACAUUUGAAAAAAGAAAAAGAAAAAAACCCGACCUAGCCGCUCUCAAGCUUUGCUAGGGCUUCUCGAUGGCUUCCUUCGACAAAACUCCCAAAUCUCUAUCUACUAACAUGGCUGAAUCUACGUCUUUUGUUGCACUAUCCUUCGCCUAUGCUCGUGUUUCUCUUAGGGCGAGUGAUAGAUUGGUGCUUCGACACACCAUUUAGGUAUACGGUUGUUGGCGGUGAAAGCCACAUUUCCUGGCUUCAAGGGAACGAUGCCGAUGAUUGGGCGAAUCAAGGCGAGUUUAUCUUUUCACAAUUUAGGAGAUCACUUCCUCUUCUAAUUCAUCAUAUGUUCGAACAUGAUCGCAUCCUUCACGGCGGUCCUCGUUUCUAUAAGAACACAAUGUUGAAUUUGGGAGGCUUUAAUGGGGUAAGUCCGGUAGUGGAAUUUCCCCUCAAUUCAGUUAAGACAUGGGAUCGUCACAUGGUUUACCAGUUGCUUUGAGGGAAACAGAGAUCCUGAGUUGCAUUAGUUUCGAUAUUGGUAACCUCAUUAGGUUUGAUUAGAAUGCAUUACAUAGGUUGGAAGUAGAGCAAGGUCUCUGCUUGACCUUUAAUGUAUGUUUCUUGUGUGAAAACACACUACUUGAAAAACCAUGUUUCACACAGAUUAAGGAUGCGGCUAUUUCACACGGAUUACAAUGAAAAAAAGGUUUCACUCACGGUACACUUACGAAUUAGAUAUCAAUGCUCUCCCGAGGAGGGCUAAUUCUUAACUCACACAUAUUUAACAAUCCGUACGAAUAGUUGACGUGGGCCUUAUCACAUUCAACAAACUUGGUUAUUAUAUGAGAUACUCAGUCAGUGAGAACAACUCUGUAUUUUACACAGAUAUCAGUGGUAGUCCAUAAACUCUAUUUACACAAAUAAUUGUGUGAAUACAAUUAUCACAUAAAUCUGUGACAAAACUUAGACAUUGCAUUCAUAGAUGUACGUGUCGAUUUUGUUUUACCUUAAUUCACACUAAUUCGUGUGCAAUAGUGAUUGCAUUAAAAAAUAAUAUACAUGUCACUCAUAUUUCUCUGCUAUAUAUAUAUAUUUCAUACUAUUUACAUUUAAUCAAGCAAACAAAACCACAACUCCAUCCAAAAUAUAAUAUUUGACAUUCCCAUGUAGUUUACAUUCGUACCAACAUAGUUUACAUACAUACCCUACUUAAUUCUUGGAUUACAAAAACAAGGCUGCUUUUCUAGAAUACAUUGUUAUUCAAGGUGGAAAACCAAUAAGAUUUUUCUCCUAAGAACAACAUAAUCAUUGUACAAGAAUAGGUUCCAUCAAAGUAGACUAGAACAGAACCAUCAAAAUAGAUAAUGACAUCUUUAGGUGAAACUAACCAAAUUAGCAACGCUGUAAACGACGAACCGUUAGGGGCAAUUCAGGCCGAUACACAUCACUGAUGUCUAGGGUUAGGAUUACAUUUUUACUCCCUUGUGUAAGUUGUGUUGUUGGCUCUAUUUGAGGUGCCGUCUCAAUUUGUGAAAAACAAACCACUCUCAUCAUUCUAUCCAUUUCGUAUACAAAUAGUUCCCUCACCUUCUUUGUCAUAAGUGUCUCUUGCUGCCUUUUAAAGUCCUCCAUUUGUGCAGUGACUCUUUUCUCCAUCUCAAAGGCUUCAUUCCUAAUUCUCUCUUCCCUUUCAACAACUUCUUUUCUCUCUUUUUCAGCCUCAGUCUUUAAUCUUUCGGUCUCCAUGCAUUGUUCAUCAAGUUUAGCCUUCAUUGCUUCCACAAUGCUAGAAAUACUUCUUUUCUCAAUAUGAAUAUUUGGAACAUCACGCCAGCAGACUCCUGCUCCAAGUCCCUUACUCGGUUACGCUUCUCUAGCCCAAAAACUUCUGCAUAGAUAUCUUCUCUAACCUUUGGUAAUAUCAACAUUUAAUUUCUUUCUCUCCUCUUCAGCCAUUUCCAGAUCUUGCUGCAUUCAAUCAAGAAACUAUUAGUAAACUUAAAAUUUUGCUGCAUUCAAUCAACCUUCUUUCCUCUAUUGAUUCUUUUUAAAUUAAAUGUAUUAGUAUGAAAUUUAGAAGUCCGAACAUGUCAAUAAUGGUGAUUUAAGCACAGUCAUUGUUGUUGGGUGUUUCUUUACAUGAAUGUCCAUUAUUAAUUAUGUANNNNNNNNNNNNNNNNNNNNNNNNNUCUUAGUACUUUCAUAAAAUUAAAAGCAAAAUAACUACCAACUUAGUUAUUAUAAUACUCACUACUACUUUGGUAGAUGCAGCGUCCACGUAUUCAUUUGUUUUUCAUUUCUUAAUUACGUUGUGUCAACUUGAAUAUUUCUAACCUAUUAAAUUUUUCCUCAACCCCAUUCUCAACUUGCAGCAAUGUAGGUUGUUUAAAGAAUUAAAUAUCGAUGAAGUAACAUAUAACCUAUAAAUUGCGUGAUUUUUUGGGUUUGUCACAAUUUAGGUUUCGUUAAUUCGUUUGUUUUGUUUUAUUAGUUUUUUCUCUUAGUAUUAGUAGAUUUUUGUAUUAUAUGGCUGGCAUUGGCCUAGUCCUCCAGCUUAUUUUACCUUUUGUAUUUUUUCAAUAAAUUUUCGUAAGGGGACGAUAUUAGUCCCUCUACGCUUAAAAAAAAAUAAAAAUAAAAACAUAUAACCUAUAAGUUAACAUGACAACUCACCCAUUCAUACACAACUGCUGAACAAGUAUGGUUGUUUCAUGCAUAACCAAGAAGGUAGAUUGUACAUAGACAUCACAGCAGGUCAUGUACUAUGUAUAUUCCUACUCAUUCCAAAAAGACUAAAUCCAUCACUAGCUAGCCAAACCUAGGAAGACAUUAUGACAAUCGUUACCAAAAUCUAGAAACUUUUCAUUCAACUGUGUUCAAGCUGGAGAAUCGCAGGGUGUCGAAGUAUCCCAUCUUUUGUCUAAAGUUUAGAAUGCCAAGACAUAUCAUCUGCAGUAUAGCGAGACAUAUAUAAACGCUGCAAUCUAGGAGCCAAUGGAAAAUAACGUAAAGUCUUAGCAGCUUUUGGUUUUCCAUCAACUUUAUUGCCAUUUUCAUUCCUAGUUCAUCGUCGGCUAGUACCACAGUGCUCACAAACCUCCUUCCCCUAAUACAACAUAAAAUCAUUAGGACAUGUAUCAAUCUUUUCAUACAACAACCCAAUGUUCUUGAUCAAUUUUUUAGUUUUGUGAAAACUCUUCGGAAGUGUCGUACAUGUAGGAAAUGUAUCUCUCAAUAGAUCUAGAGUUUCUUCAAAGGAUGUUUCACUAUUUGAGUCCGAACCCUUAAUCUUAGAUAACCUCACUAAAAAUUUAAGCUUCUUUACUCGAGCUCCUUAAAAAAUAUGUGUCUGCAUCAUCAAGUAACUUGUAGAACUUUUGGGCAUCAACAGAGGGACCUCCAACUGCCUCUGAAGAAGAAGGCAUGGUCAUAUGAUCAUGAAACCCAAAUGCAUCUUGCAACAUAUCGGUCAUGUCAUGGUUUGGCAUAACCUGUUGUGGGGAUGAGAGACGUGUUGCUUAUUCCUCUCUCUCAAGGGCAAUUGCUCAGUGAUGUCCAAGGAAUGUAUACAUAUUCAUUCCACAUGCCUACACAACAUAUAUGGUCCUCCACAUCCUUCAAACUAUGUCUCCACCGAUUUUUACACUCUUUACAAGGACAACAUAUACAAGGACAACCCUAUUCAUUCCACAUGCCUACACAACAUAUACGGUCCUCCACAUUCUUCAAACUAUGUCUCCACCGAUUUUUACACUCUUUACAAGGACAAUAGAUUUCGCCAAGAAUAGGGAAGAUGCUUUGUGCACGGUUGAUGAACGCGCGAAGUCCCGAAAUAUAUUCAUGACUUUGUCGAUUAAGAAAAACCCAAUUUUUGUUCGUAUCCCUAAACUAAUCAACUGCUUCAAUAGAUAAUCAUUGCAAAUCAAUGUUCCAAGCUCUCAAUAUGCAUACAAAUUUUCAUAACUCUGAUAAAAUCAUACCAUUAGCACUUUUCCAUUAUUUGAAUUGUAGCAAAUUCUACUCAUAUAUGUCAUAAAUUAAUAGGCAAAUCUAUCAACCUACACCACAACCAACCAUUCAUGAUCAACAACAAACCUUCAUACACAAACCAAACUAUAUAUAUAUAUAUAUAUAUAUAUAUAUAUCCAGAGCGAAGCUUCGCUUUGAAAUUAACGUGUGAAGUUUCUUAUUGACUCACUUUUCGGACAUAUUUCCACAUCUCCACCGUUUAGUUGGUAGAACCCAAUGCAUAGAGAUCACUUAUGAAAAGUUUCAUCGAAUUUGAUAAUUAUUUGAGUUUUCAUAAUCGUUAUUUACAUAAACAGUUAUGUUUAGACAGAAUUAUGGUCCUUUUAUUGAUUUAAUCUAAUUCGGUACCUUAACAAUCAUCAAGUUGGAUAAAAUUUUGCAACAAUGAUAUAUUCAUUAGUAUCAAUAAACUGAAUGAUAGAGAUGUGAAAAUAUGACCGAAAUGUGAGCCAAAUAAGGAACUUCACAAGUUAAUUUCAAAGCGAAAGCGAAGGCGAAGGCGAAGGCGAAGGCGAAGCUUCGUUCUGGAUAUAUAGAAACUAUAUAUAUUAUAUAUAUAGGCUUUCUCAGGUAAGGAUGUCCUUAUUUAUUCUUACGGUGCGAAUUUCCACUUUAGACAAACAUUUCGUUCAAAUUUUCACAUCUCCACCAUCUAGUAUUUAGAUACUAAUGUAUAGAUCAUCUCUACAAAAUUUCAGCCAAUUUGGUUAUCAUUAAGGUACUCAAAACUGCGUUUUCUGUUAUAAANNNNNNNNNNNNNNNNNNNNNNNNNNNNNNNNNNNNNNNNNNNNNNNNNNNNNNNNNNNNNNNNNNNNNNNNNNNNNNNNNNNNNNNNNNNNNNNNNNNNNNNNNNNNNNNNNNNNNNNNNNNNNNNNNNNNNNNNNNNNNNNNNNNNNNNNNNNNNNNNNNNNNNNNNNNNNNNNNNNNNNNNNNNNNNNNNNNNNNNNNNNNNNNNNNNNNNNNNNNNNNNNNNNNNNNNNNNNNNNNNNNNNNNNNNNNNNNNNNNNNNNNNNNNNNNNNNNNNNNNNNNNNNNNNNNNNNNNNNNNNNNNNNNNNNNNNNNNNNNNNNNNNNNNNNNNNNNNNNNNNNNNNNNNNNNNNNNNUAUAUAUAUAUAUAUAUAUAAAACUAAAAGAAUGAAUAUACCAUAUAUGAAAUACAUGAUGAAAUCAUACCUGAAUUUAGAUUAAGAACUACCACAGGUCCAUUGCUUCAAGUUUUAGAAAGAAUACAUCAAUGGCGAACUGUGAUCGGGUUCUUGGUUUUAAUCAUUAUGUCACACGGACAUCUGUGAGAAAUCGAGAACAUUAUUCAUGCAUACAUACAGCUCACCUCGGUAAACCAAUUAAUGUCAUGUCAAAAUUAUUAGGUUUUUUCUUACGGAAGUUUGUGUCUAAUAUAUUUUUCACACAUAUAUAUGUGUCUAUACUUCAUAUGGUUGAAAGUGUAAUUCACAUUACACAUGGAUAUCUGUGCCAACUUACGGAAGACUGAAACCUUGUUCGUAUAGGUGAUAAUAAUUAUUUUUAAUUAUACUAACUUUUGACUGCUACAAAUAUCUAUGUGCAUUACAGUACAUGCAGCUAUCCGUGAAAAUAGUUACUAUCAUGUUUCACAUUGACACUGUUUUCCGUGUGAAUUAGUAUUUGACACAUAUUUGUUGCUGCUAUUGUUGUAUGAUGUAAUGUGGGCCUAAAAAAAAUCCUUUUAUGUAUGGUUUUUUGUAUAGCUAAGCUUUUGUCACAGAUAUCCGUGAGACUAAAGUAGUAUUAGGGGUCACCAAAAAGCCGGGCGGGGCCUCAAUCAUGUUUUCUAAAUUUUAGGACCGGGCCGGGCCGGGUUAUUCAAAAAAAUCAAAGCCCACAGGCCUGGGCCUUACGGGCUUAUUAGGGCCGGGCCGGGCUUUUUAGAUGGGCCGGGCCGGGCCGGGCCUUUUAUAUAAAUAUAUCUAAUAGAAUUUUAUCAAAAUAAACAAAAAAACUAUAAAAAAAUUAAAAUUUGUUAAUGAUUGAAGUAAAUGUAAUAAAAAUAAUAAUAAAAUAUGACUUAAUGCAUUAAUUAGUUCACAUAUUUAACUAAUAACUUCAUAAAAACAAUUGAAAGGGCUUGGAGUGGGCUUUUUAGGGCCGGGCGGGCGAGCUUUGAUUGGCAUGUAACGGGCCGGGCCGAGGCUUUCCCUUCCGCCAUAGUUCGGCCUCAUGCCCUAUGGGCCUGGCCGAGAUGGGCUUUUCUAUGGGCCGGGCCGGGCCGGGCUUUGGCCCUUCGGGCACACGGGCUUUUAGGCCCUCGGGCCAAAUGAUGACCCCUAAGUAGUAUGUGAGAAUAGAAUCCGCGUGAGAUGGUUUUUUUCUAGUAGUGAUAUGAAUGCAUUUUGAGUUCUCGUCGAUUGUUGAUCCGAAGCUCUUGCUUAUAGAGGACAAGUUCAAGGUUUAUACUGUGAGUGUGGGUUGUUUCAAGUUUCAACUUGAUGCGUAAGGUUGUGAUAUGGCUCUGGUCAAGGAGUUGUUAUGGGCAACCCACUAGUCGAGGCUUUGGCUUAGAGUUACCGGAAACACUCAACUGUCCAGCAAUCUGCGUUUCGGAUCGGACGAACCCAAUUGCGGUGCGUUCGCGACCCCGAUCGCUAAACCCAGCGUUCCCCCUGACCAUAGCAUAAUGAAGUCCUAGUUAGACUAAUUCAGAAAAACUGUAGAUGAAAUCUAGUAUUAGAAAACCCAAAGAGAGAAAUCAGGGAAUAAAUGCUGAGAUCUAUCUUGAGCAGUAUGUAGCUUUACACCAUUUUCUUGGGUUUAGCCUCCCUUCUUUCUUUUUUGUUAAUGAUUUAUCCUCUUCCUUUUCCGGAAGAGAUUAUUAUUACUUUCAAAACGAACAAAAAAGAUAAUGCUAAUUUUAUGUUAUUUAUAAGUUUACCUCUAUCCUUUCUUAAUAAUGUGGUUUCAUAGUGUUUCUAUAAGGGGUAGUGAUGUAAAAAUGAUUUAUCAUAUGUAGUUUAUUUUUAAUUAAAUAUUAACUAUAUAUCCUAACGUACCGCGUUUUUAAAUACUAACGUAUCGCGUACCCGUACCGCAACGUUCCACAUUUCUGGCAACAUUGCUUUGGCUGGUCUAAUGUUGGCGUCAAAGAUGAGGCCUGUGAGGAAAGAAGGAACUAAGGUGGUGCUACCGGUCCCAUUCGAACAUGUGGUAUUUGAAUCUCAUGUUAUCGUUGAGGUUGAAAAUGUGGUGGUUGCUAGGGAAAUGAUUGAGACUAUAGUGAUUACAAAUGUUGUGGAUGAAGUUGUAGCGGUGGAUGUAUGCAUGGAACCAGUAGUUAUUGUGGUUCAUCCUGAAACGCAGCCUUUGAUAAGGUAGUUGACAACUUCAUUUUGUUGACGAAGGUCGACGUAGAGAGUAUCUGAUCCUCGGAGUUUGGUAAUAAGUCUCUCUCUUCCUAUGCUUCGAGCUGCUUUUAGAAGGUGCUGAGUAAUAAAACUGAGGCAUGUGAGACUACCAGUGCUUAAUUGGUGAUAAAGAUGGAAUUUGAACAAACUUGUGUUCCUAAUUUGGAACUACUGAAGUGACCUUUGGAGAAAGCCCUUGCUGAAGCCAGCAGUUUUACAGGAGGUUCACAUGAUUGUGGCUGUCGUUUCAGGCUCUCGUGUUCCUUCUUCAAGAUGUUUAAAGAUUUUGUUUCGGGAAGAAAUUUAUGCAAGUUUUGAAUGCAAGUAAACGCAUUGCUUAGUGGUGUUCAAAGUUCAGAAGUAUCAGGACUAUGAUUUCUUCUCAAAAAAAAAAAAAAUUGGUUUAAUGAUUUCUUGCCAUUUUCAGUUGCAUUUUCUUGGAUAGAUUUUGCUGGUAAUUGCCNNNNNNNNNNNNNNNNNNNNGGAUAGAUUUUGCUGGUAAUUGCCAAACUCGUUUUCCCAAAGGGAAAUCCUAUUCCAAGUGUCAAGGCUGCUAGUUAUUAUAGAAUAGACACAUUCUUGAUCAGUUGAUGUGCAUAUGUGCAGGAUGACUAUCUUGGUGAACUGCAGGCAGUAUCUUCAAAGAUCAGUAUGUAUAUGACUGGCCCUUUGAAGUCUACAUCACAGGUGAACUAGUGAAAGUGAAGUUUAAAGCUCGCUUUUUUUUUUUCCUUUUUUGAGAAGGAAGCUGAAAGCUCGCUUGAAUGCAAAUGGGAUUGUGUCUAUAGACUAUAGAGUUGGCAAGUGUUUUGGAAGAGAAAGAAGUUCAUGGGGUUCUAAAGGUAACAAAAGUACGUGUGCCAUUAGUUUUCUGAGGAAUGACUGAAGCAGAUGUGCAAAAGGCCAGUAAGAAAGAGUUUGAGAUGGCUUCACAAGAUCGACUAUCAGAGACUUGAGCAUCAUGGAAUAUAAAUGAAACUUAUUGAGACUUCUAAGGAAUAUAAUCCCAGUUAGUCAUGUUUUCAUUAUCUACAUUGAUGUAAUUGAUUGUAUAGCACAUUCCUUGUCGAUAAAUUAGCUAGAAUAGCUAGAAUCAAGGAGAUAACUCCUCCUCCGGUCCCUUUCUGUAUAUAUGUUGUACUCGAUGAUAUGAUCAAUACAACAAAGUAUUCUAAACCAAUAUCAUUCUUAUUAUGGUAUCAGAGCCAACGCGCUCUUGAAAUCCCCACCAAACACAAAAACUCUAAAUCCAAAUCCUUGUCGAAAACAUGACAGGAGAAGAACGAAAAGCCGAUGCAAAUUCAUCAUCGAAGGCUCCGGCAUGGGAAAACAUCAAUCAUCCUCUAUACAUCCAUCACUCGGAUCAACCAGGAGCAAUUCUUGUUCCACAAUCACUCGAGAAAGACAAUUUCAGUGCCUGGAUCGAUAGCAUGAAAGCGGCACUCCAAAUCAAAAACAAAAUAGGGUUAGUUGAUGGAACUCUAACCAAACCCGUGAAGAAUCCGGAUGAGCAAAAUCAAUGGAACCGAUGCAACAUCCUUGUCAAAACAUGGCUGCUUGGAUCAAUGUCAAAGGAUAUUUCAAAGAGCUUUUCUCAUUGCAAGGACGCAAGGACCGUGUGGCUUGAAUUGUACGAAAGGUUUGGACAAACUAAUACCGUUCAACUUUUCCAUAUUGAGAAUGCUAUACAUGAUUGCGUACAAGGCUCCUCUUCGGUUACAUCCUUCUUCACCCAACUCAAAAGCCUUUGGGAUGAGAAGGAGGCACUCUGCAAUUUUCCUGGUUGUGUUUGUGAUGCAGGAAAUGAGUUGAAGUCUUAUAUUGAGACACAGAAGAUCAUGAAGUUUUUAAUGGGUUUGAAUGAUGAAUUUGCCACAAGCCGAAGCAACAUAAUUGGCAUGGAUCCCCUGCCUUCAUUGAACAAAGCCUAUUCUAUGGCUCUCAGGCAUGAAAAGCAGGUUGCUGUUUCAGCAAACAAGGCAGCGCUCCAUCCUUCUGAGUCCACUGCUUUCUACGCGCAGCAGCAGCGUGGCAAUAUGACCCCGAGCGAGCCCCUUGCAUCGCGUCAUGCAGCACACCAAUCUGAUUUAGCAGUGCGUGCACAAGAGCCUCUGGUUAAACCUUUUGCAGGUCAUGCGCGUAAAACAGCGCGUUCUUCAAGCAAUUAUGACUGGAAGCAGGGAUGUGAAAAAUGCAACAGGACCAAUCAUUCAACUGAGAAUGGCCCAUCUACGUUGUACAAUUUGCAACUGGAAAGGGCACACUUCUAAAACAUGCCGACAGCUCCUACGUUGCUCAUACUGCAAUUUCAAAGGACAUACUUAUGACGAAUGUCGCAAAAGAGAAGCUCCUCAAUCUGGAGAAGGAAGCAGCCGUGCUAAUCACAUCUUGGCAGCCUCUAUAGGGUCUGCCUCCUUUCCAUUCUCACAAGAAGAAUGUGCUCGAUUGAGAGAGAUUUUGGAUAGCAAUCAGGCCUCAACUCAAGCUGGUAACAUUGCCAAUUAUGAGGAACUGGUAAGGCUGCCUCUCUCGCCAAUACUUGUUGUCAUUCACCAAUAUGGCUUCUAAACAGUGGUGCAAGUGAUCAUAUUAUCUGUGAUGACAAAUUUCUUACUUCAAAACAAUUGGUCAUGAAUUAUACUAUGCGACUCCCAUCUGGUUCAUCUGUUCUUGUUACAUACAUUGGAACUGUGUUAUUUUCAUCUCACUUAAAGCAUGAGAAAGUGUUAUGCGUGGCCUCCUUUUAUCUGAACCUAAUAUCUGUGAGCAAAUUGGCUCGUGAUUCAUUAUAUGUAACCAUCUUUCUGAGGCAAAUUUGUAUUGUGCAGGACCUACGAUCGGGGAGGAUGAUUGGGACAGGGACUGAGAAGGAGGGAGUCUAUUGCCUUGAUUAUCACCAGAAAGGAACGUGCAAUGUGGCUCAAGUUCAAAUGCAAAAUCUUUGGCACCAAAGGCUGGGUCACCCAUCACAACGAGUGUUGUCAUUAUUUUCUUUUUCCAAAAACUUUUCUGCACCAAAUAAUUGUUUGAUUUGUCCUCUGGCCAAACAAACUAGACAACCAUUUUCUUUAAGUACUACUUCUAGUAAAGAUUGUUUUGAAUUGAUUCAUGUUGAUAUUUGGGGAGGUUAUCAUGUUCCUUCACUCACUGGUGCACAAUAUUUCUUGACCCUUGUUGAUGAUUAUUCAUGGGCUACCUGGGUCUCUCUCAUGAAACAGAAAUCUGAAACACGUCAACUUCUUGUUAGUUUUGUUCAUUUGGUCGAAACACAGUUUGAUAAACGUGUCAAAGUCAUCAGGAGUGAUAAUGGUCCCGAGUUUUCUAUGCAUGAAUUUUAUGGGUCAAAGGGUAUUGAACAUCAAACCACAUGUGUCAAUAAUCCCCAACAGAAUAGGGUUGCUGAAAGAAAGCAUCGUCACCUCUUAAAUGUGGCUCGUGCUCUUCUUUUUCAAGCCAAUUUACCAAAAAGGUUUUGGGGUGAUGCCAUCUUAACGGCCAGUUAUCUCAUAAAUCGAACAUCGACUCCACUCUUAAAUGGCAAAACCUCUUUUGAAUGCCUUUUCUCAAAAGAACUGACAUAUGAUCAUCUUAGAGUUUUUGGGUGUCGAUGUUUUGUUUCCACACAUCCCUCCAAGCCAAGCAAAUUCGAUCCCAGGUCAGUUGAAUGUGUUUUCUUAGGUUAUCCUCAUGGUAAAAAGGGUUAUCGAGUUUAUGAUGUCAAAGGAAAGAAAAUUCUCUUUUCUCGUGAUGUUAUUUUUUUUAGUCUGAUUUUCCCUAUUGAAACCAAAUCUCAAAUUCUCCUACUUUCUCUCCACAAUCAAAUCCUGAUCCUCCUAUUUCUUCUUCUCAAACUGAUCCACUCUUUCGUUCCUUUGAUUAUGGGGAAUCAAAUCAUGCACAGGAAAAUCUCAAUUAUGCCGAAAUACAUUCUUCUCCCCAUCUCAUUAAGAGUUCACCCGAAAACCCUACUACCAUAUCCACUGAUAUUACUGCCUCAUCCAUCGAUAAUUUUUCCAAUCCUAUUCUUCUGUCAUCUUCAAUUCAUCCAAAUUCUUCGGUCAAUCCCAACUCUUCCGCUACCAAUCAAUCUGAUCAAAACAUUUCUCUCUUCAAACAUAUCUUUUCCUUCACAAAACACAUCUUCCUCGUCCGAUAUUUCUACUCCUCCAUCUCAACCUCCACAACAACGUUCUACUCGGACUACACGAACAUCCAGCCUAUUGCAAGACUUUCACAUCGAGGCAACUCUCCCCUCACGUAGUGUUCCACCAUCUUCACGGACCGAGGUCUCAAGUAUGGUUCAUUCCAUCUCAAAUGUGUUGUCUUGUAAUAGACUAUCUCCUACACAUUAAGCCUUUAUUGCUGCACUAACUAUGCACCGCGAGCCUACAUCCUUUUCACAAGAAGUUGUUGAUCCUAAAUGGCGUCAGGCCAUGCAAGAUGAAAUUCGUGCAUUGCAAGCUAAUUGCACUUUGAGCCUUGUAACACCACCAACAAAUAAACGUCCUAUCGGCUGCAAAUGGGUGUUCAAAAUCAAAUACAAUCCGGACGGUAGUGUGGAACGAUAUAAAGCUCGCCUUGUUGCUAAAGGCUACAGUCAGGUUGAAAGCAUUGAUUACCGUGAGACUUUUGCGCCUGUUGCCAAGCUAACCACAGUCAGAAUUCUUCUUAGUUUGUCCUCACUCCAAGGUUGGCAUCUUCACCAACUUGACAUCAGCAAUGCUUUCUUACAUGGAGAUCUAUAUGAGGAUGUGUACAUGCAACUUUCUCCUGGUUUUGGAGGAAAGGGGGAGACACGAGUUUGCAAAUUACACAAGUCGUUGUAUGGACUUAAACAAGCAUCAAGAUAAUGGUUCAUCAAAUUGUCCAAUGCUCUCAUGGAAGCUGGUUUCCACCAAUCUUGGUCAGAUUAUUCUUUAUUUACCAGAAAUCAUAAAGGUCACUUUACUGUUCUAUUGGUAUAUGUUGAUGAUAUCAUUCUAGCAGGAAGCCAUCUUGAUGAUAUAAUAAGUGUGAAAAGUUAUUUAUCUGAUAAAUUCAAGGUGAGAGAUAUGGGAGUAUUGAAAUACUUUCUUGGCAUAGAAGUUGCUCGUUCCAAGCAGAGAAUUGUUCUAAGCCAACGAAAAUAUGCAUUGGAGAUACUAGAAGAUUCAAGUUUUCUUGGAGCUAAGCCUACUACUUUUCCUAUCGAGUAUAAUAGCACUCUCACACGAGGAGAAGGAAAGUUACUGUCUGAUCCAUCACAAUAUCGACGAUUGGUAGGAAGGCUAAUAUAUCUCACCAUCACAAGACCAGACAUUGUGUAUGGGGUUCAUAUUCUCAGUCAAUUCAUGGACAAGCCAAGAGAACCACAUUUAGAAGCUGCACAUAAGGUGCUUCGGUAUCUAAAACAAACGCCGAGGCAGGGUCUACUUCUACCAUCCAGAGGAACACUACAAUUAAGGGCCUAUUGUGAUGCAGAUUGGGCUAGAUGCAAGGACACCAGAAGGUCAGUCACUGGCUAUUGUAUUUUUCUUGGUGAUGCAUUUAUAUCUUGGAAAACAAAGAAGCAACUACGGUGUCUAGAUCCAGUGCAGGAGCCGAGUACAGGUCUAUGGCCUCUACUUGUUGUGAGAUUACAUGGUUGCAAAACAUCUUGAAAGACUUAAAUGUCAAAGGUAUGCAACAAACAUUACUAUUUUGUGACAAUCAAGCUGCCCUCUAUAUAGCAUCCAAUCCUGUUUUCCAUGAACGCACAAAACAUAUUGAGAUUGAUUGUCAUGUUGUGCGUGAAAAGAUCCAAAGAGGACUUGUUAAGGCUGCCCAUAUUCGAACAUCAGAACAACCUGCUGAUAUGUUCACCAAACCGCUGCAUCCUAAACAAUUCAUAAAGUUGUUAAGCAAGUUAAGUGUAAUCAAUAUACACUCUAACUUGAGGGGGAGUAUUGAGACUUCUAAGGAAUAUAAUCCCAGUUAGUAAUGUUUUCAUUAUCUACAUUGAUGUAAUUGAUUGUACAGCACAUUCCUUGUCGAUAGAUUAGCUAAAAUAGCUAGAAUCAAGGAGAUAACUCCUCCUCCCUUUCUGUAUAUAUGUUGUACUCGAUGAUAUGAUCAAUACAACAAAGUAUUCUAGACCAAUAUCAUUCCUAUUAAAACUUGUAUCCUAUAUGCUUCAGUUCGAUUUGAUUCGGUUGCACUUAUCUUUCGCAGUCUUCUACAUAUGAUCUGUAUAAUACAAACUUUGUUGCAUUAUGAAGUGAAAGAACGCAAUUUUCUUCCUCUGCAAGCAAGAAAGACUAUGAUUAGCAUGCAUUAAACUGCAAAUGAGGCAUCCGGACCAAUUGAGCUUAGCCGUAAACUUAUAAUACUUGACUCCGAGUUAUCUUCUCUAUGAAUCCUCAACACAUAUAUUGAGCUAGCACAGCUAUCUUACAUUUACUUAAGCAUGCUAGCUACCAAUGUCCCCUCAAACAUAAUGAUUGUGUAUAAUGGUAAAUGGAUUAUACGUAAUGAUGAACUCCAAUUCCACAUUUGCUUUAGAAUUUUAUGCUACUAGUCAUGAUAAAAAUGGGAACAUAGGGAGCACAUUGUCAACAAAAUAUAGAUAUACCAACCUUCUCUAGCAUCUCAACCCCAUUAUUUAUACACAAGAAACACUUCAUUUAAUUGUCAAGUUGCAAGUUGCAUAUAUAUCAUCUUUCCGGCUUACUAAAGCCAAGCAAGUCGCUUUCAUUCCUGGUGCUCUUCACGUGGUAUAACCAAAGCUUAGCAGUUAGCACUAUCAAAUCACAAAAAUCAUCCGAUGCUUGUUCAUAAUUUUAGUUAGAGAUUUUUGUUUACGGUUUAACACGGUGAAGAUAGAUAUAAACAAUUGUUUGGGGGGGGGGGGGGGUUUGGGACCGCUACUGUUUGCAUACCACACCUUAUUGGCAAAUAAUUCUUCAAUAAACAUGUAAACAAAACGGGCGCGAAUGAUAGUAUAAAAUGACCGUUAUAUUAUAUUAGACGUUUUUCUCAUACAAUAUCACCAGCAGAUAUUGAAUCAAUUAUAACUAGUUGAUCAAUCAAAAAUCAAAUACACAAUAUAUAGACGCUCAAUCACAAGUAAGCCAUGUGGUUUUUAACUUCCUGUGUUGAGUCUUAAGAGGAGACUGAAGAAGAUUUUCAUCUUGUAAAAUUGUGUCUUUCUCAUCACGUCAAUUAAAGAAUAACAUACAGUGCAACAUACAGUGCAACAUACACGUCAAUUCCAGGAUUGACUAAUUCAUACUAAGCAUAGCGACAAUGAUCAAGCGGUUCUUCAUUUUCCAAAUCACUGUAACAUAAUUUGAGCUACUGCAAUAACGUCGUAAGAUAUAUUUGGAACACUUUUCUACAAGUUCUAUAAGAAUUUUUUUUUUUUUGUAAAAGUACACGUUCUAUUAGAUUGUACCAACUGUAUUAGCUCAGAAAGUGCUAUAGGGUGUGGAUAUACCGUAUACGAGUAUGAUACAAAUCUGUAUCAAAUCCAAUUUGAAUUAUUCAAAUGAAAAAGAAAAUUUCAAAAACGCAGGGAGCAAAGUCAGAAGAUGUUGAUGUGGUAUACCCAAAAAAAAAAACAUGUCAGAAGAUGUUGACAAAAAUAGCCAACGGGAUUCAGCCACGUCGCAUACCCUAACAUGCACAUCAAUUCCAAAGCCCACGUUGACUAACUGGCCUCUCACAUUAACGCCAAUCACAUGCGGACCGCUACACAGUCCUACUGCUACGCCGCCACCUCAACCAACCACUCAUUAAAUUUUGCGGCAGUCCCCAUAAUUAUAUGUAAUUAUUAGAGAUUCCACAGCCCGAAGAAGAUGGUUAUUACCAUAUAAGGAAAUUUCGAGUGUCAUCUUCAAUUCUUAACCUUAACCCAAAAUAGUAAAAGAGAAACAGUUAAAACAGUUAGGUCGUACCAAGAGAGAAAUGCACCUCUUCGUUUUCUACCCGUCUCAGAGCUUUCACGAAUUCUGGACCAUUUCUGGUCGUUGUAUGUUUUUUUUUUUUUUUUUUUUUUUCUUGAGAGGGCUCAGGUCAUUUUCUUAAUUUUUGUUGUAUUCACGCAUUUCAUUCUCAAUUACCACCACCGUAUUCACGAAUUUCACAUGUAUCAUGACUUAAUCACUUAAAAAUUGUGUUGUGUUUUGCCUAACGGAUUAGUCAUUAGACUUAAUAAGCUUUUAAGAUACCGCAAUCUUAAAUAUAAAAAAUAAAAAAUAAAAAACGGUAAGAAAAAUAAAAUGGACAAAUUAUGAUUGCCUAACACAAUGACUCCAACAUAUAUAAACACACCCACUUGGUACAACCUUAUUAUUACUAAUGUCUUUUUUUUUUGCGUCAAUAUAAAUAGAGAAAUUUUAUCCACACAUCCUUAAAUACUUGAUACACAUACCUUACUUAAUUGACCACUAAUCUUAUUUCUUGUUUAAUCAAUUUACUAGAUACACCACCCCAAACUACCAAUUCUACCCACAGACUUCAUAAUAUAAACAAAUAUCAAAAUUAUUGAGUUUGAUUUUUAUUUUUUUUAUCUUAUCAAUCACGAAAGCUAGCUAGCUUGUAUAUCAUAAUCAUAUUGCAUAUGUUUUGUUUAUCAAGAUAAACACAAUGAUUCUUUUAUCUUUUCUUCUUUCAAUUGAUCAUCAUGAAACAAUUCUUCUAAAAUGUAUAUAUCAUGAAACAACACGUACAAACAUAUGAAGGAAAUUUCAACUAGGGGUUAUAUAUAUGGUAUUCUUGUUUGUAGAAGGAUAUGCCCAUUAUUGUUUAUAUCAAAAUGAUUUUCAUAUGAAUAGUAUGAAUACGAACAAUCAUAAGAAACCUCAAUGUACGAUUCGGUAGUUAACUUAGAGUUUUUCAACUUGAUCUAUAACAAAAUUAAUUUUCUAAUUAAAUUUCUUAUUCCAGUAUGUAUGACUUUUUAGUCAUUUUGAUUACCCCUAAAAUAUAAUUUUAAAUGUUGAAAGAUUAGGGUGUGUAUUAAGUAUUUAGAAAUGUGUGGAUAAAAUUUCUCAUAUAAAUGAUUUUCGUCCCAAAGAGACAGACAAGUGAUAAGGACGGGGGAGUGGAAGCUGCUGAGAUUCUGAUACUAUUAUUAGUAAAAAUCAACUGCCAACCUCGUGAAAUAUGUCAGUUCCUUCACUUCAUUGAAACUUGCUCAGCAUCACCCUUCUUCUUAUACUCUCUUUUCCGGUCAGUACACCAAACCUUGAGACAUUGUUUCUUUUACCAUAUAUAUAUAUAAAUUAAAUGUCUUAACCCAAAUUCAGUGGAUGCUGCAUUGUGAUUGAUCAGCACUUUCUUUUUGUGAGAAAAGAUGUGAUUAGCACUUGUAGGACAGAAGCCCAUUUUUAGCAAAAAGCUAAAAGCAUAGAUUCCAAUCUCCUCUAGGAAAAUUUUUAGUGAACAUUAGACAAGUGUAGGUAUGAUCCAUCACUUGGUAUCAUUUGGUUUGGUAAUAUAUAAUAAUUUGAUUUAGUUAUAUAAGUAUUGUAGUUAUAAAUUCUCAAUUGUCGAUAAAAGACAAAAACAAAAUGAGAAAAACAAAGAGAAUGAGAUUGGUUUAGUUAAAACAUGCUAGACUUCGAUUAGUACAUUGGAGAACACUCAUUGGUCGUUGAAUUUCAAUUAAUCACAUCAGGUCAUUCAAAAGACAAAUGUAUUUUGCAAAAACUAAAAUUUCAAGGCAGAAAGAAUGCAAUGACACAUUUGGAGUCUUGAGUUGCUACCCAAAUUGCUGAACCCAAAAUAUUCACAUGCAAAUCCUCAACUGUACACACAUUGACUGAACAGCCCCUCACAAUCCCCGUAUGCCCCAAACCACAGCAUUCCGGUCAAUCCAUUAAAACCAAGGACAUUUUCGUCAUUCAAACAACUAAAAAUAACCACACAGAGAGAGAGAGAGAGAGAGAGAGAGAGGAGGAGAUACAAAAUAGAAACAAACGCCAAAAUAAAACUGCCAUUUUUGUUUUAACACAGAAACUCAGACCUGGGAGUUAGCGUCACCGUCACGG